GGAGGGUGUGAAGCACCAUGCUCAUUAUCUCAAACUGAACCUGCUGCAGAGGCUGACCGUAACUCCGCCACGUAAGAAGGUUCAGUAAGGUGAAAGGCUUCUGACAUUUCAUUUAUCAUGUAAAACAUGCAAUUUUAUUCGGACAAAAGCUUUAUUCAGAAACAGAGGUCUGUUAUUUCCAAGUUGCAAUAGUACUGGCCACACAUGAUGAUGUAUGGCACUUUUAUUUUGUAGCUCUUCAUCGAUCAACUAAACGGUGAUCGAUCUAGCUAGCACAUCACAGAUCUUAGCAGGCACCACCAGCACAGGUAGCUGUCAUGGGGAUGCUGUAGAUGGCGGGGGUGAUGGUGCUGCACGGGGUGGUGGUGCAAUAUUGUGGGAUGUUCACUCUGCACAUCAACGGAAGGGUCUGAAGCACCAUCCUCAUUAUCUCGACCGGAACCUGCUGCUGAGGCUGCCCGAAACUUUGCCCUUGCUGCUGCCGCAUGAUGAUCUGUGCCACGCUACAGACGGCCUGGCACCGAGCCUGCUCCGAGAUCUGGGCCAGCGGCUGGCAGCACUGUUGCCGCACCAACUGGCAACCGCUUGCCUGCCACAUCUGUGUCUGGACAUGUGGUGUCUGGCUGCACUGCUGCAGGAAAGCAGCGCAUGUGUUCAUCUGCGGCUGUGGCUGCGGCUGCGGCUGCGGCUGCUGCUGGCAUUGCCCGUAGCCCUGGCUACAGGUAGUGUACAGCUGCGCAACAGCGCUUGUCGCCGUGAAGGCGAGGAGAGCGAGGAGGAACAUGGUCUUCAUGGUGGCUGGCUAUAAGCUUGCUUUGGUGUUUAUGUUUGUGUGAAGGGUGAUGAGGGAGGGUCUUCAUGGUGCAGGCCUAUUUAUAGCUGCCAUGGCAUCAUGUUGUGCAUUGCAUUCCUAGGUUCCUAUGCUAAAGCUUUUGCGUGCUUUUCCAACUGAUCAUCUGACACUCUUGUGUUAGGUGGCGCUACAAGUCCAAUCUUGGAUGGUCGUCAAAUAUACUUUUCAACACAUAUCGUGUAGAUAUCAGUCAGCUUGCGCCUGACCCCGAUAAUCCAUAUGACUCAUCACUGAUCACUUUACAUGUCAAGCGUAUAUCUCGAUUGUGUCUUUUUGCGAAACCUGUUUUGUUGUCUUGUAUGAGUUGAUAGAUAUAAAUCAGAUUGGCAUGUCCCGCGCUCCAUCUUACUGUUUUCUGAAAACUGGUUUUGUAUCGUUCUACUAAUUGGUAAUUGGUAAUACAAACGGCAUCAGCAUAGCAGUGAUGACUCAUAAAUUUCCCUUUACAUGUCAAGGAUUGUCAUGGAGCUAUGCUUCGGCGUGUGAAACUGAUUUGUUGUUUAUAGUGCGCCGAGUUUAAUUGCUUCCUGGAACUGGUUUUGUAGUCUUGUAUAAGCUGGUAGGAUAUAAAAUGCCAUGAGUCAUCAAAUGAGUUUUACAUGUGGGAAGUCUGAUGUAGCAUUUUUGUAGCUUUGGCGAGUGAACCUAAACUUGUUUUUUUUUUGUAAAAGGUAUGUGUUUUAUGCAUGUAUCAUGAGGAGAGUGGAUUUUUUUAGCUCGAGCUCCAUGGAGCUCUUUUUUCAAAAUUCGUAAAGUCAUAUUUUGAAGUUCCAAAAAAUCUGAAAAAAAUACACAUGGACCUAUAGAUGUAUACUGCAUCUUUUCAACAACAACAACAACAACAACAACAGCAACAAAUAAGUUGGGGUAGCUUGAGCUGAAGAUCUCGCAACCAACUCAUGGUUCUAGCACAUGGAUAGCUAACUUUCAUGCACCCCUUUCCAUGGCUAGUUCUUUGUUGAUAUUUCAGUCCUUCGGACUUCUCUCAUGUCAAGUUUGGUCUAUCCCGACCUCUCUUACAUUAUCAACACGUUUUAGCCGUCCUUCUGGAGGCCUGCGCUGAAUAUGCCCAAACCAUCUAAGACGAUUUUGGACAAGCUUCUCUUCAGUCAGUGUUAAUUACCCCAACUUCUUUAAUGAAUACUACACAUGUGUUAGAAAUACAAGAUUUUUUUUCUACUGCUCACACUAAAAUGUAUUUUGUCAUAGAAAUUUUACAGAGAUGUAUACCAGUGUUCCAAUGUGUCUAUUCUCUGUUCGGCCCAUCAAUCCCUAAUUCCCAAAUUAAGAUGUUCACUAGGAUAAACUAGACCGAGAUUAAUGAUUUUUGUGCAGACCUAGUGUUGUGUUUUUUGUGGUUAUUUCUGACAUGUUAUGGACUUAAAUAGAUGGACGUGUUGAAACUUGGGGCUGUGACAGGUUUUACUGAUACCUAGAUAGAUACUUCAUCCGUUCGGAAUUAGUUGCGCUCAAACGGAUGUAUCUUGACGUAUUUUAGUGCUAGAUACAUUCGCUUGAGCAUCAACUAUUUCCUGAUGGAGGGAGCAAUAUUAUAGAAUUCGCAACACAACUAAGCUAAACCAGAAUGGAACCCUUUGACUCCGCCCUGAUAAUAAUCUUGCGAACAAGGUGCUUAACCCUUUGCUAUAGAAUUAUAUCAUGAUAUAGGUGAGCAUGUACUCCCUCCAUUCCUAAAUACUCCCUCCGUUCCUAAAUAUAAGUCGUUGGGGGAGUGUAAACUGUACUCCCCCAGCGACUUAUAUUUCGGGAUAGAGGUAAUAUAAUUAAGUGUAUUUUAGAGAUAUCAAUAAGAACUACAUAAGGAUAUAUAUAGACAUACUUUAGAGUAUAGAUUCACUCAUUUUGUUUUGUAUGUAGUCCAUAUUGAAAUCUGUAAAAGACUUAUAUUUAGAUACAGAGGGAGUAGUUCGCUAGAAAAAUCAUUCCUAUGAAGUUUCGGUUGGACUUGUAUCAAGUGUUGCUUCUCAAUAGAGUUAUAUUCCAGUCAUUCUUCUAUCUUGUAUCCAACCUUCCAACCAACGAUGACAAAAUGUGGCUAGUAUGCUUGUUCAGUUUUUGGUACCUCCACGGUUUCUUGACUUGGCACCAAUGUAUAGAGCACAAGAAUAUUAAUAUAUGUUGUCUCCCGCCCGUGAUUGUGCUGCGCAAUGCUCAAUGGCUAUGGCAUGUCGGCAAUUAAUCAGCUUCUGACGUAGCAUUGAGUUUUAUCGUGUGUGUUGGAUAAUAACUUUACGUGUGUCAACAAUGUUAUCAAAUCCAUUAAUAUUUUUAUGAAGCUUGUUCAUGUGCGAAUGUUCCUUGAUCCAGUCUCUCUUCUUCCAUAUAUACCGUCCCUCUCUUCAUGUUGUGAACUUUUGGUUUAAUUGGGGGCCAUGUAGAGUAUGAUGAUUGUUCAAUUUGUUUCACGGAAAAUAAACCACUCCUGCAGUAGAAGGUUUUCCUAAUGGUGUAACACAGUAAAAUAAAAUAUGCGAUUGUGCCAAUACGAAAUAAAAAGACAAUCAUGUGGCAUACAGAAAAAAGUAUAAUUAGGAGUGAAAUUAUGAAAAUAUAUCUUAUGCAUUUAGAUAUUAUUCAGUUAUAUGUACUAGGUUUUGUAACUUCCAUGGUUUCUUGACUUUGCAAAUGUAUUAUGCACAAUAAUAUUUAUCUAUAUUGUCUCCAGGAAGUGAUCAUCAUGCACUGGCUCUACGGGGAUUAAUCGACUUCUUAUGUAGCAGCUUCGUUGUCAUCAAUUCUGUGAUUGAACAAGAAAGCACAUACUGAAUAUGUCAACAUCGUUCCGAAUCCGGCAACUCUUUAUAUUGCUCAUACAUAUUUGUGGCCAUGUGCUGUUUGAUUUGGUCUCUCUCCAUAUGUGCCUUGUGCUGGUCUUUUAUUUCUCCUUUCGUGUUCUAAAUGUAUUUUGAUUUAGUGGGAGGCAUACAAUAGGUUGAUGGUCUAUUUCGGUCAGAUGCUUCUGAGAUUUCACCUAUCACGCAAAACAUGCAAUUUUAUUUGGACAACAGAUUUAUUCAGUAGCAGAUGUUUGUUAUUUCGAAAUUGCAAUAGUACUGGCCACACGCGAUGAUGCGUGAAACUUGUAUUUUGUCAUCGCUUCAUCUAUCAACUGAACACUGAUCGACCUUGCUAGCACAACACAGAUUUUAGCAGCCACCACCAGCACAGGUAGGUGCCACAGUCAGGCUGCAGGNNNNNNNNNNNNNNNNNNNNNNNNNNNNNNNNNNNNNNNNNNNNNNNNNNNNNNNNNNNNNNNNNNNNNNNNNNNNNNNNNNNNNNNNNNNNNNNNNNNNNNNNNNNNNNNNNNNNNNNNNNNNNNNNNNNNNNNNNNNNNNNNNNNNNNNNNNNNNNNNNNNNNNNNNNNNNNNNNNNNNNNNNNNNNNNNNNNNNNNNNNNNNNNNNNNNNNNNNNNNNNGAUGCAGUAAUCCGGGAUGUACACAUUGCACAUCGGCAGAAGGGUGUGAAGUACCAUCCUUAAUAUCUCAAACUGAACGUGUUGCGGAGGUUGAUCGUAACUUUGACAUGCAAGAAGGUCAAUAAUGUGAGAUACUUGUGUGAUCUCAUUUAUCAUGCAAACAUGCACUUUUAUUCAGACAAAAGCUUUAUUGAGAAACAAAGGUUUCUUAUUUCUAUGUUGCAACGGUACUGGCCACACAUGAUGAUGUAUGGCACUUUUAUUUUAUUUUUCACCCUUCAUCCAUCAUCUAAACUAAAUGGUGAUCGGUCUAGUUAGCGCAUCACAGAUCUUAGCAGGUACCACCAACACAGGUAGUGGCCAUAGGGACGUUGUAGGGGGUCUGAGUGAUGGUGCUGCAUGGGGUGGUGGUGCAAUAUUGCGGGAUGUUCACGUUGCACAUCGAUGGAAGGGUCUGAAGCACCAUCCUUCUUAUCUCAAUGGGAACCUGCUGUUGAGGCUGGCCAAAACUUUGCCCUUGCUGCUGCUGAGGCUGACCGAAACUUUGCCCUUGCUGCUGCCGCAUGAUGACCUGGGCCACACCGCAGACGGCAUGGCACCGAGCCUGCUCCGAGAUCUGGGCCAGCGGUUGGCAGCACUGUUGCCGCAUCAACUGGCAACCGCUUGCCUGCCACAUUUGUGACUGGACAUAUGGUGUCGGGCUACACUGCUGCAGGAGAGCAGCGCAUGUGUUCACCUGUUGUUGUGGCUGCUGUUGGCAUUGCCCAUAGCCCUGGCUGCAUGUAGUGUCCAGCUGCGCAACGACGCUAGUCGCCGCGAGGGCAAUGAGAGCGAGGAUCAACAUGGUCUUCAUGGUGGUUGGCUACAAGCUUGCUUCGAUGUUUAUGUUUGUGUGGAGGGUGAUGAAGGAUGGUUUUCAUGGUGCAGCCCUUUUAUAGCUACCAUGGCAUCAUUUUUUGCAUUGCAUCCCUAGGUUGCUUUGCUAAAGCUGUUGCUUUUCAAACUGAUCAUCCUAGACUCUUGUGUUAGGUGGCGCUACAAGUCCAAUCUUGGAUAAUAAUCAAAAGUACUUUUCAACAGAUAUCGUCUAGAUGUUGGAUGAAGCCUGACCUGGAUAAUCGAUACGACUCAUCACUGAUCACUUUACAUGUCAUGUGUAUAUUUGGAUUGCGUCUUUUUGUGAAACCGAUUUUGUUAUCUUGUACGGGUUGUUAGGUAUAAAUCAGAUUGAGCAUGUCCCGUACUCCAUUUUAUUGCUUCGUAAACAUGUUUUGUAUCGUUGUGUUAAUUGGUAAUGCAAGUGGCAUCGGCAGAGCAUUGAAUGACUCAUGAAUUUCGCUUUACAUGUCAAGGAUUGCCAUGGGAGCUAUGCUUUGGCUUGUGAAACUGAAUUUGUUGUCUUUUGUAUGCCAGGUUUGAUUGUUUUCCAUAACUGACUUUGUAGGGUUGUAUAAGUUGGUAAGAUAAAAUUUUGAUGAGUCAUCAAAAUCACUUCACAUGUGGAAAACUUCUAUUUUUAAGAGGAGGAGACAUAAUCAUGUUUGAAGCUAGUAUUANNNNNNNNNNNNNNNNNNNNNNNNNNNNNNNNNNNNNNNNNNNNNNNNNNNNNNNNNNNNNNNNNNNNNNNNNNNNNNNNNNNNNNNNNNNNNNNNNNNNNNNNNNNNNNNNNNNNNNNNNNNNNNNNNNNNNNNNNNNNNNNNNNNNNNNNNNNNNNNNNNNNNNNNNNNNNNNNNNNNNNNNNNNNNNNNNNNNNNNNNNNNNNNNNNNNNNNNNNNNNNNNNNNNNNNNNNNNNNNNNNNNNNNGAGAGAGAGAGAGAGAGAGAGAGAGAGAAGUCUGAAAGCUCUUGAUUCUUCCAAGGUUUUUUUUUUGGCAUGAUUCUUCCAAGGUUGGUAUAAUGGCAUUUUCUGAUGUUUCUUUAGAAAAAUGAUUUUUUUUUAGUGAAAGGUAUUUGCCUUUUUCUAGAAGACAGUGAAGGGUUUUUUUAAAGUACAUUUUUCUAGAGAAUUUUGAGACUACAUAGUGAAGGGGUAUUUGCUGCUAAGUCCAUCGCCCCAAACCCGGCCCAUGAGUCCUGGCCUGGGCCGGGCCGGCGUUAAAACCGAAGGAGAUAUCGAUCUGGAAAAGAAAAGAAAAACUGACCUGGACCGUACUGCUUCGCUACCCAUCGCAGAGCUGUAAGAAACGGCGGCGCGCAUGGAGGCGCCGCCGCGGGAGAUCGACGCGCAUCCUCCUUCCUCGUCGCCGGCGACCGCUUCUUCGUCCUCGUCGCCGACGUAAUACUCCUAAGCCCUACCUCGUCCUGUGCUCUCCUCCUCCAUCUCUCUCUCCCUUCCCUCCGUCUCUUUUCUUCCUUUUUGCAUCCCAUCUUGUUGCGUUCGCCUGCGGAUAUUAUUAUACCUCCAUAUGGAACUAAAUUAGGUGGAUAUUAGACAAAGAUUGAUUUUGACAUGCUUGAAGAAAAACAAUCCCUGCCCUAGAUCGCCAACAUUGCAGGCAAGAAUAGAGGGUGUCAGUCGCCUGAUUUGCCAUGCCUGUAUCAAUAUGCUAGGGGAAUCAUAUUCGCCUUGCCUGUCAUUCUUUUUUUUUCGGCCUGAUUCAGUUUGACACUAGGUGUUGUCAGUCAGCAUCAAGCACUCGGCACCUGACAUUUAUUCAGUUUGAGAAACAGGCGAUUGUGGUGUACUAAAAAAAUUCAGUGUACACAAAAAUUUCUAUGAAACUUAAGCAAUCAUUCUAUCUUCUCAACAGAACUCAAAUCCUCUGCCUGCAUCGCUGUUGAUUUUAUUCUAAGCUUCCCGGGAGUGACAACUCAAAGUGAUCAGUACCUUUGUUCAGUUCAGUUUGUGAUGGGAAGCGUAGUGUGGCGUUGACACCCUAACGACACGCACCAGUCAUGUUUUUUCUAGAAUCUUGGUAGCUCAUGUUCCUUUUUUUCCUGAAACUUUGGCAGGAGAGCUGCCGAAUCUAUUAGAGGAGAAAGAGACCCAAAGUAUUGGUAGCUCAUGUUCUUUUUCAUACAAUUAUGACUCGCUUCACAUGCCUAACCUUUUGUCCUGGAUUUGCUGCGUUGAACAGGGAGCACGCCGCCAUGCGAAUCUGGGCUAAGAGAACCCGCUAUGCAUCUGCCUCCUCCGUCUUUGCCGCAUCCAGGCCACGUGGAUGGGCAGAGCUCCCGGAAGAUUUUCUCCAAUCAUUAGUCACUCGCCUGGGCUCCUUCCGCGACCUCCUUGCCUUCGGUGCCACCUGUCGUCCUUGGCGUGAUCUAUUGUCAGCGCGCACACCCUCUUUGCAGCCUCUCCUCCUACACCCGAGUACCGACAGCCAACGAUCUCCCUGGUUUCACCAAUGGAUCGUUUUCCAGGAAUGCACGUGGAGAUUGUCUGAUCCGUGGAGAUUGGCUGAUUCCUCUGCCGCCUCAUCCUGGCACAGUUUGCUUUCCUUGAGUGACCUCAGAAGAAUGUUCUUUCUGCGCUGCUCCUACGGUCACCUCAUCUUCUGCGACGAAGAUGGGUUCUACAUUGUUAAUGCGUUCAGUGGCGCUAAGGUUGUGCCUCCUCGCCUCAAGUCAGGUAACUUCACUCGCGUUAGCUAUGUCACCUUGACCGCCCCUGUUGCAUCUGCGGACUCGCAUCUCCUUGUCGGCAGUGGAAUCUAUCUGUUCCAGUGGUGCAUCGGGAGCGACUCUUGGUCAGAACACAGUCCUAAAGUUCUUCUUCUUAAGAUUGAACAAAUCUUUGCCUUCAAGGGUAAAACAUACGCCCUAGGGUCUUUUGGAUCCUUCUGCAUCGUACACUUGUCACCUAGUCUCAUAAUUCAGAAGUUUAAACUUGUGUUUGAGGAAGAUAGAACCGAAGAUCUCUAUUGGACAAAUCAAAAAACAUGGCUUGUGGCGUGCGGCGAUGCACUUCUUUUGAUCAAACUUGAGGCAGGAAGGAAGAUAUGCUCGGAGGUUGAGCCCAUCCAGUUCAAGGCCUUCAAACUCGAGUCACUUGAUGCCGUGAACAAGAAGGCAAGGUGGGUGAAGUUGGACAGGUUGGAUAACUGGGCCAUCUUUGUCAGUGCCGACAUGCGAUGCGAGGCGUUGCCAUGCAUGAAGCCGGAGAGAUGGGGAGGGAAAAGCAACCACAUAUACUUCCCAUGUUAUCAGUCUGAACAACCAUGGGCUGCAGUCAAACUAUGGAAAAAAUAUAAUGACCUUGCGAGAUGUUUGCAGCUCGUGAAUACUGGAAUCCAGUUUCAUAGAUUAGAGUCAACCUGGAUCCUUCCCGGCACAUUUCCUCGCUCCGGUCAGCGAUGAUCUUAGGGCAAUUGAGGAUGCAACCGUUGAUUAGCUUCUGAUACAGCUUUCAUGUUAGGAUUCUACCAUGUUGCAGUUGCAGGAUGAGCAGUUGAGUGAAUGUUCUUGGCUUGUCUCAGAACUUGAAAAUUUCACUGUAAAGAUUGCUGAUUCCGCACUCUCCUUUUCUUUUUUGGCGGCGAUUACAAGGGACUCUUAUGUUUUAUUUCUCAUCUACUACAUAUUGUUGAGUUUUCGUGUAUACAUGAGCAACUUGAGAACAUAGUCUUGGACUGCAACCUAGUUUUUGUGCUUUGGUUGUUUAUUGUUCAAGUGAUUUGCUUGAGCAUAUAACAGUCUCACUGGGUGGAAAUGUGAAUAUUUAGAACAUAGCUUAAGGAGGGUUCCAAAAAAAUUAACUGAACAUUGCACACCAUUUUGGGGUUGAGAGUUGCAAGAAUCGGAGUGGGGAUGCAAGUCCAUAGCAAAUUACCUAUAAGUAGGUAUGCAUUCAGGUUAGUCUAUAGCGCACAAUGUUGUGCAUUCGCACACCAAGUUCAGCCAACAAACAUAUAAGCAGCAUACAUGCAUUCAGCACAAAGUUCAGAAUAUGCACCAAGAAAAACCAGGCAGACAGAUUGUUCAACAACGAAAUAGCUCUGCAUCUGUACCUAGCUUCAGCAAGCAAUUCUGAUUGCAUUUUAUUACCUCUGUUUUUAAAAGGAGAUCAAGCUACAUAGUUAAAUAAAAGCCCACACACAAUGCCGAAGAGUGGUACGAAGAACCAACGAAGGCAUUGUUUCAGGAUGCUAAACCCCGUCUCUUUUAUGCAAAAUGGAAGCAAUUAACAAGGUUUAGCAAAAAGAACAACACGUCAAACAUGUAGCACAAGUUUUUGCCUCCGGAAAUGUACACUGUAUAAUACAAACAGAUUAUUACGAAUCUUGAUGUAACUACUCUUGGCUUUUGAUAUCUUUGAGCAGUAUAUUCAGGUGGAAGAACUCUUCCCCGGUGAUUCCUCAAAAAAAAAAAAAUUCUUGAUGUACUCCGUCAGAGGAGCGGAAACUAGAACGAACAUAGAGACUGAACAUCAAGCAGUCCCCAAGUGCAUCCAGCGACAACAAGACAACUGUACGGUACAUAGCCGCCCUUUAACUCCAUCCUCUCUCGGUUCACCAAGUGUCGUGGCUGGUCAUUAUCUUUCUCGGCGAAGAAGAAUGCCAACUUCUUUAGGCCUCCUUCUACUAGCUUCACAUACUUCGCAGAUUCAAACGAUGAAGAAGGCUUCCUCAUUGCCACCAAGUAGGACAAGCAUGUCAUCACACGCCACUAACUCGCGGGAAAGCUUGGAUGGGUCCAUAUUAUCACAGCAAACAACUCUUAGUGCCUCAAAGCAAAAUUGGGGUGCAAAAUGCAUGGUGUAAAGCUUUCUAGAUAUCUUUGCAAUGAGUCGGCCUUUGAUUACCACCAUAUGCAUGAUCAUACGCAGGACGUAGCCAGGCCCCAAGCAAAAGGGGCCAUGUCCUGGGGCAUGGCGGUGAAACACUUCCUUAAGGGUUGCUACUGUAGCAUAAUGUAAUUACUUUAAUUAUUGUAGCUCUAUGGCUUGCCUGGGGCGUGAGCUAAGGCUGGUUACGCUACUGAUGAUAUGUGCAUUUAGAAAAAUCGCGAAGCAACCUAGGACUCCCAACACGCCAAGCCCACAGGCUGUGCAAGCUGGUGAUAAAUACUUAUGAUCAGAUAUAUGAAGACUUAUAGCAGAGAGCUGAAUCAUUGGGCAAGGUGAAGCUGAAACCCUAGCACUAAUGAUCACGUCCAUAAUGAUAAGUGAUCUGUGGGAUGGGAAGAUAGCAUGACCAUAAGAGCAACUCUAGCAGAUUCAUCAUAUCUGCGAUCGCCAUAUGCCAUAUGGAGCGCACUACAUAUAGAUAUGAAUAGUGGGCACGCGACGCACAAAUUUAGAGUCGCCAUAUCUCAGCCUUCAUAAUUCUCUUGGUUUCCACAUUUAAACGCUUCGAUUACCUUCUAAUUUAAACGUUUAGCACAUCAAGCAAAAAUGCUCAUAGUUUUUUACAAGUCGCAUGAACAAAAGCAUUUCGCCGAUAACAUGUACAAAUCACGUGUUCCCGCCCUACCCUCUUUCGAGCUUCCUGAUUCGUCGCGCCACUGGAUCCAUUAGGUUAGGAUACAACAUGAUUAACUGAUUCUGGGGGAGACAGCCGCCUACAUGUGGUGUCAUAGGCCUUGCCUCCUCUGUGCUGGGCUCUUUGGAGGCAAUUUAGACGAGGUGUUGGCCUAGGCGGCAGCGGUCGAUCAUCGGAGCCGCAGUAGGCACGCUACCCACCGGAGCCGCGGGAGGCGUGGGAGCCUUCGAAGGCGCGAGAUUUGGUUCCAAAACGAUGGAAUCAGACAUGACGGUAGAGGCACCGUAAAUGUUGUCGUAGGCAGGUGACUAGGACGGACGAAAGAGGUGAAACACUGAUAACCCACAAGUAUAGGAGAUCGCAACAGUUUUCGAGGGUAGAGUAUUCAAUCCAAAUUUAUUGAUUCGACACAAGGAGAGCCAAAGAAUAUUCUGAAGUAUUAGCAGUUGAGUUGUCAAUGCAACCACACCUGGAUAACUUAGUAUCUGCAGCAAAGUAUUUAGUAGCAAAGUAGUAUGGAAAUAACGAUAACAGUAGCAGUUUUGUAGCAAUUGUAACAGCAGCAACGACAAAGUAACUAAGCAAAGAGCAAUAUGUUAAAAGCUCGUAGGCAUUGUAUCAGUGAUGGAUAAUUAUGUCGGAUGCGAUUCCUCAUGUAAUGGUUAUAACAUAAGGUGACACAGAACUAGCUCCAAUUCAUCAAUGUAAUGUAGGCAUGUAUUCCGAAUAUAGUCAUACGUGCUUAUGGAAAAGAACUUGCAUGACAUCUUUUGUCCUACCCUCCCGUGGCAGCGGGGUCCUACUGGAAACUAGAGCCUCUUUGAUUCGCAGGAUUGUCAAAAUGAAGGAAUAGGAAAAAUGUAGGAAUAGGAUGCCAUGUCUUAUAGUAUCCUACAGGAUUUGAAAGAAUGUUUGAUAGCGCAGGAAAAACAAAGGAAUUUUACAAAGAGGUUUGACUGGAUGGAAAUUUUCCUCCAAAAUGUAGUACAAAUGGAUCCUAUGGAAAAAUUCCUAAGGAUGUCAAUCCUACGAAUCAAACGAGCAUCACAGGAAAAAUUCCUAAGGGUUCAAAUCCUCCAAAAAUCAUAUGCAAUUCCUUUGAAUCAAAGGAGCCCUAAGGGAUAUUAAGGCCUCCUUUUAAUAGAGUACCGGACCAAAGCAUUAACACUUAGUGAAUACAUGAACUCCUCAAACUAUGGUCAUCACCGGUAAGUAUCCCGAUUAUUGUCACUUCGGGGUUAACGGAUCAUAACACAUAAUAGGUGACUAUAGACUUGCAAGAUAGGAUCAAGAACUCACAUAUAUUCAUGAAAACAUAAUAGGUUCAGAUCUAAAAUCAUGGCACUCGGGCCCUAGUGACAAGCAUUAAGCAUAGCAAAGUCAUAGCAACAUCAAUCUCAGAACAUAGUGGAUACUAGGGAUCAAACCCUAACAAAACUAACUCGAUUACAUGGUAAAUCUCAUCCAACCCAUCACCGUCCAGCAAGCCUACGAUGGAAUUACUCACGCAUGGCGGUGAGCAUCAUGAAAUUGGUGAUGGAGGAUGGUUGAUGAUGACGACGGCGACGAAUCCCCCUCUCUGGAGCCCCGAACGGACUCCAUAUCAGCCCUCCCGAGAGAGUUUAGGGCUUGGCGGCGGCUCCGUAUCGUAAAAUGCGAUGAAUCUUUCUCUCUGAUUUUUUUUCUCCAUGAACGUGAAUAUAUGGAGUUGGAGUUGAGGUCGGUGGAGGUCCAGGGGGCCACGAGGCAGGGGGCGCGCCCUAGGGGUGCGCCCCCCACCCUCGUGGACAGGGUGUGGGCCCCCUGACGUUGAUUCUUUCGCCAAUAUUUUUUAUUAAUUCCAAAAAGUUGCUCCGAGGAUUUUCAGGUCAUUCCGAGAACUUUUAUUUUUGCACAAAAAUAACACCAUGGCAGUUCUGCUGAAAACAACGUCAGUCUGGGUUAGUUCCAUUCAAAUCAUGCAAGUUAGAGUUGAAAACAAGGGCAAAAGUGUUUGGAAAAGUAGAUAUGACGGAGACGUAUCAACUCCCCCAAGCUUAAACCUUUGCUUGUCCUCAAGCAAUUCAGUUGACAAACUGAAAGUGAUAAAGAAAAACUUUUACAAACUCUGUUUGCUCUUGUUGUUGCAAAUAUGUAAAGCCAGCAUUCAAGUCUUCAGCAAAGAUUAUGAACUAACCAUAUUCACAAUAACACUUAGGUCUCAUGUUUACUCAUAUCAAUGGCAUAAUCAGCUAGCGAGCAAUAAUAAUAAAUCUCGGAUGACAACACUUUCUCAAAACAAUCUUAAUAUGAUAUAACAAGAUGGUAUCUCGCUAGCCCUUUCUGAGACCGCAAAACAUAAAUGCAGAGCACCUUUGAAGAUCAAGGACUGACUAAACAUAAUAUUCAUGGUAAAAGAGAUCCAGUCAUAGUCAUACUCAAUAUAAAUUAAUAGUAAUGCAUGCAAAUGAGAGCGGUGCUCUCCAGCGGGUGCUUUUUAAUAAGAGGAUGAUGACUCAAUAUAAAAGUAAAUAGAUAGGCCCCUCGCAGAGGGAAGCAGGGAUUUGUAGAGGUACCAGAGCUCGAUUUUGAAAUAGAGAUAAAUAACAUUUUGAGCGGUAUACUUUUACUGUCAACAUAACAACUGAGAGAUCUCGAUAUCUUCCAUGCUACACACAUUAUAGGCGGUUCCCAAACAAAAUGGUAAAGUUUAUACUCCCCCACCACCAACAAGCAUCAAUCCAUGGCUUGCCUGAAACAACGGGUGCCUCCAACUAACAACAAUCCUGGGGGAGUUUUGUUUGCAAUUAUUUUGAUUUGAUUAGAGCAUGGGACUAGGCAUCCCGGUGACCAGCCAUUUUCUCGUGAAUGAGGAGCGGAGUCCACUCCUCUUGAGAAUAACCCACCUAGCAUGGAAGAUACAGACAGCCCUAGUUGAUACAUGAGCUGUUCGAGUAUACAAAACAGAAUUUCAUUUGAAGGUUUGGAGUUCGGCACAUACAAAUUUACUUGGAACGGCAGGUAAAUACCGCAUAUAGGAAGGUAUGGUGGACUCAUAUGGAAUAACUUUGGGGUUUAUGGAGUUUGGAUGCACAAGCAGUAUUCCCGCUUAGUACAAGUGAAGGCUAGAAAGAGACUGGGAAGCGACCAACUAGAGAGCGACAACAGUCACGAACAUGCAUUAAAAUUAAUCAAUACUGAGUGCAAGCAUGAGUAGGAUAUAAUCCACCAUGAACAUAAAUAUCAUGAAGGCUAUGUUGAUUUUGUUUCAACUACAUGCGUGAACAUGUGCCAAGUCAAGUCACUUGAAUCAUUCAAAGGAGGAUACCACCCUAUCAUACCACAUCACAACCAUUUUAAUAGCAUGUUGGCACGCAAGGUAAACCAUUAUAAACUCCUAGCUAAUUAAGCAUGGCAUAAGCAACUAUAAUCUCUAAUUGUCAUUGCAAACAUGUUUAUUCAUAAUAGGCUGACUCAGGAACGAUGAACUAAUCAUAUUUACAAAAACAAGAGAGGUCGAGUUCAUACCAUCUUCUUCAUCUGUCAUUUCAUCAUAUAUCGUCAUUAUUGCCUCUCACUUGCACGACCGAACGGUGUGGAUAAUAAUAAUAGUGCACGUGCAUUGGACUAAGCUGAAAUCUGCAAGCAUUCAAUUCAAGGGAGAAGACAAGGUAAUAUGGGCUCUUGGUUAAAUCAACAAUAAUGCAUAUAAGAGCUACUCAACAUUUUCAUCAUGGUCUUCUCCUCUCGACCCCCAAAGAAAAGAAAAGAAAUAAAACUAUUUACACGGGUAAGCUCCCAACAAGCAAAAGAAGAACGAGAAAUCUUUUUAGGUUUUCUUUUAAUUACUACUACUACAGGCAUGGAAAGUAAACUAACUAAUUUUUUUAGUUUUUCUUAAGGUUAUUCAAACACACAAGAAGAAAGCUAGAAAAGAAAUUAAACUAGCAUGGAUAGUACAAUGAAAAAGUAUGAGCACCGACAACUAGAAUGAGUGUGUGAACAUGAAUGUAAUGUCGGUGAGAAAUACAUACUCCCCCAAGCUUAGGCUUUUGGCCUAAGUUGGUCUAUGCCCAUGGAUGGCCUGGCGGAUAUCCGAAGUUGUAACUAGGGUCGUAUUGAGAUGCAGCAGCCGUUGCCUCACGAGCUGCAGCCUGGAGGCGAGCUGCCUCCGUCCUCCUCUCAUACUCGUUCGCCUCCUCCCUGGUGAUAACAUAUCUUCCUUUUGCCUGAUAGUCAAAGAAGGCAGGAGCAGGGAGAGUAAUAUGGGCAGCGCGACGUCUGUCAAAAAUUAGUCAAUACUGGAGGAUUUGUUCAUUCCUCUCGAGAAAAUGAUGAUUAACCAUGGCAUUAUAAUCUAAAUAAGCGGGAGGCAACUCCAUAUCAUUUUCAUGUGCGGGUAUACCAAGAUAGUUAGCCACACGGGUUGCAUAAAUCCCUCCAAACAAGUCUCCAUCUAAACCAUUAUUAUGAAACCUACGUGCAAAAAUUGCCCCCAAGUUAUAUUGUUUAUCACCUAAUACAGCACUCUUGAGAACACUAAGAUCCAGGACACACAUGUGACAAGCUUCAUCUUUACCGUUAAUGCAUCUACCUAUGAAGAGAGCAAAAUAAUGUAUAGCAGGAAAAUGAAUGCUCCCUAUGGUAGUUUGUGCUAUUUCUCUGGAUUCUCCCACAGUGAUACUAGCAAGAAAGUCUUUAUAUUCAGAUUUACGAGGUUCAUUGACACUGCCCCACUGCGGGAGUUUACAAACGGUAAUAAAAUCUUCUAGGUCCAUGGUAUAUGAUUUAUCAUAAAGAUCAAACAGGACAUUGUGAGAAUUGCGCGAAGAUGUAAAUUUAAACCUUCUCACAAAGGAAUCAGUCAAAUGGUAGUAUUGAGGGCACUUAUCUUGCAUGAAGUCCUCAAGAUCAGCAUUACGCACAUAUGCAUCAAAUUCAUCCUUGAUGUCUGCUUUGACCAUAAACUCCUCUGACGGCCAUUCACAAGGCCGCACGUGAGCUUCCCUCGAUGGUUCAUCGUCUUGCUCACGUAUUGCGAGCCUGGGUCCUUGCUUCCUUGAAGAACCACCUUGGUACAUUUUCCAGGACAUAUUUCUUCCUCUGAAACAUUUCUGAAAUUUUUAGUGACUCAAAAUAAAAGUGAACCAAACUCAACAAAAUUGAUAGCAACUACUCCCACAAGUGCCUAGAGACUAUAUCAUGCAUUAUAACUACUUGGGACCAUAUAAAUUUGACAUGCAAGCUCAAGAACAGGGUCACCUAGGCAGCAAAAAUUUGCAACGAAUAAAGCACUAGAACAAAAACUAAUUGGACCAUUGGAGGGGUCACAUACCAAAGAACAAUCCCCCAAAGCAGUUUGGUGAAUGGAGCUUUGAGCAAGGAGAUCGAAAAUGGCAGCAAAAUGAGCUAAAACUCGUGCUUGAGCCGGAUAGUGAUUUUUUGGGAGGAAGAAGAAGUGUGUGGGUGUAGGAAUAAGUGGAGGGGGGCCACCAUGGUCCCAUGAGGCAGGGGGUGCGCCCUGGACCCUCGUGGCCAGGUGCUUGCUCCCCCCGUUGUGUUCUCAGUGCCAGAUAUUCUCAAAUAUUCCAGAAAAAAUCAUACUAAAUUUUCAGGGCAUUUGGAGAACUUUUAUUUUCGGGGUAUUUUUUAUUGCAUGGAUAAUUCAGAAAACUGACAGAAAAUACUAUUUUUACUUUAUUUAAUCUAAUUAAAAGAAGGUAGAAAGAGGCUACAGAAGGUUGUGCCUUCUAACUUCAUCCAUCUCAUGCUCAUCAAAAAGAAUCCACUAACAAGGUUGAUCAAGUCUUGUUAACAAACUCAUUCCAAAUAGCAUGAAACCGGAGAAAUUUCGAAUAACACUAGGUUACCUCAACGGGGAUAUGUACAUCCUCAAUAAUAAGAAUAUCAUAUUUCUUCUUGACAGUAGGAAGAGGAAAUUCAAAACCUCCGAUAAUAAUUGAUGGAAUUUUUCCAAUAGAAUUGAUACUGUGAACUUGAGGUUGUUUCCUCUGAAAGUGUAUCGUAUGCUCAUUACCAUUAACAUGAAAAGUGACAUUGCCUUUGUUGCAAUCAAUAAUAGCCCCUGCAGUAUUCAAAAAGGGUCUACCAAGGAUAAUCGACAUACUAUCGUCCUCGGGAAUAUCAAGAAUAACAAAGUCCGUUAAGAUAGUAACAUUUGCAACCACACAGGCACAUCCUCACAAAUACCGACAGGUAUAGCAGUUGAUUUAUCGGACAUUUGCAAAGAUAUUUUAGUAGGUGUCAACUUAUUCAAUUCAAGUCUAUGAUAUAAAGAGAGAGGCAUAACACUAACACCGGCUCCAAGAUCACAUAAAGCAGUUUUAACAUAGUUUCUUUUAAUGGAGCAUGGUAUAGUUGGUACUCCUGGAUCUCCAAGUUUCUUAGGUAUUCCACCCUUAAAAGUAUAAUUAGCAAGCAUGGUGGAAAUUUUAGCUUCCGGUAUCUUUCUUUUAUUUGUAAUAAUAUCUUUCAUGUAUUUACCAUAAGGAUUCACUUUAAGCAUAUCAGUCAAACGCAUACGCAAAAAGAUAGGUCUAAUCAUUUCAGCAAAGCGCUCAAAAUCCUCAUCAUCCUUGGAUGGCUUAGGAGGAAAAGGCAUGGGUUUCUGAACCCAUGGUUCUCUUUCUUUACCGUGCUUCCUAGCAACAAAGUCUCUCUUAUCAUAACGUUGAUUCUUUGAUUGUGGGUUAUCAAAAUCGACAGCAGGUUCAAUCUCUACAUCAUUAUUGUUGCUAGGUUGAGCAUCAACAUGAACAUUAUCAUUAACAUUAUCACUAGGUUCAUGUUCAUCACCAGAUUGUGUUUCAGCAUCAGAAAUAGAAAUAUCAUUGGGAUUCUUAGGUGUGUCAACAACAGGUUCACUAGAAGCAUGCAAAGUCCUAUCAUUUUUCUUUUUCUUCAUCUUAGAAGGACUAGAUGCAUCAACAUUAUUUCUUUGAGAAUCUUGCUCAAUUCUCUUAGGGUGGCCUUCAGGAUAAAGGUUCCUGAGUCAUUUUACCCGUUCUAGUUGCUACUCUAACAGCAAAGUCAUGUUUAUUAUUUCAUUCAUCGAGCAAAUCAUUUUGAGCUUGAAGUACUUGUUCUACUUGAGUGGUAACCAUAGAAGCAUGUUUACUAAUGAGUUUAAGUUCACCUUUAACUCUAGAAAUAUAAUCACUCAAGUGUCCAAUCAUAUAAGCAUUACUUUUCAAUUGUCUACCAACAUAAGCAUUGAAGUUUUCUUGUCUAGCCAUAAAGUCAUCAAAUUCAUCCAAGCAUUGGCUAGCAAACUUAGUAGACGGGAUUUCAACUUGAUCAUAUCUAUAGAGAGAAUUUACCUUUACUACCUGUGUUGGGUUAUCAAGACCAUGUAUUUCUUCACAGGUGGUAUAUUAAGGCCAUGUAUUCUUCAACAGGAGGUAAAUUCUUAACAUCUUCGGCUUUAAUACCUUUUCUUUCAUAGAUUUCUUUGCCUCUUGCAUAUCUUCAGGACUGAGAAAUAGAACACCUCUUUUCUUCAGAGUUGGUUUAGGAGUUGGCUCAGGAAGUGUCCAGUUGUUUUCAUUAGUCAACAUAUUAUUCAAUAAAAAUUCAGCUUGAUCGACUGUUCUUUCCCUAAAAACACAACCCGCACAACUAUCCAGGUGGUCUCUGGAAGCAUCGGUUAGUCCAUUAUAAAAGAUAUCAAGUAUUUCAUUUUUCUUAAGAGGAUGAUCAGGCAAAGCAUUAAGUAAUCGGAGAAGCCUCCCCCAAGCUUGUGGGAGACUCUCUUCUUCAAUUUGCACAAAAUUAUAUAUUUCCCUUAAGGCAGCUUGUUUCUUAUGAGCAGGGAAAUACUUAGCAGAGAAGUAAUAAAUCAUAUCCUGGGGACUACGCACACAACCAGGAUCAAGAGAAUUAAACCAAGUUUUAGCAUCACCCUUUAAUGAGAAUGCAAAUAUCUUAAGUAUAUAAUAGUAGCGAGAUUUCUCAUCAUUAGUGAACAGGGUGACUAUAUCAUUUAACUUAGUAAGAUGUGCCACAACAGUUUCAGAUUCAUAGCCAUAAAAAGGAUCAUAUUCAACCAAAGUAAUUAUCUCAGGAUCGACAGAGAAAUCAUAAUCCUUAUCAGUAACAAAGAUAGGUGAAGUAGCAAAAGCAGGGUCAUAUUUCAUUCUAGCAUUCAGAGAUUUCUGUUUCAGUUUAGCUAAUAACUUCUUAAGAUCAGAUCUAUCAUUGCAAGCAAGAAAAUCUCUAGCAGUUUCUUCAUCCAUAACAUAACCCUCAGGAACAAUAGGCAAUUCAUAUUUAGGAGGAGAACCUUCAUCAUCACUAUCAUCAAUAAUAUCAGUUUCAAUAGUUUCAUUCUCUAUAGCCCUAGCAAGUUGUUCAUCAAGAAAUUUACCUAAUGGCAUAGUAGUAUCAAGCAUAGAAGUAGUUUCAUCAUAAGUAUCAUGCAUAGUAGAAGUGGCAUCAUCAAUAACAUGCGACAUAUCAGAAUUCAUAGCAGAAGCAGGUUUAGGUGUCGUAAGCUUACUCAUAACAGAAGGAGAAUCAAGUGCAGAGCUGGACGGCAGUUCCUUACCUCCCCUCGUAGUUGUGGGAUUGAUCUUAGUUCUUUCGUUUUUCAAGUUCCUCAUAGUGAUCAGCAGAUAUAAAUCCCAAGUGACUCAAAGAAUAGAGCUAUGCUCCCUGGCAAUGGCGCCAGAAAAUAGUCUUGAUAACCCACAAGUAUAAGGGAUCGCAACAGUUUUCGAGGGUAGAGUAUUCAACCCAAAUUUAUUGAUUCGGCACAAGGGGAGCCGAAGAAUAUUCUCAAGUAUUAGCAGUUGAGUUGUCAAUGCAACCACACUUGGAUAACUUAGUAUCUGCAGCAAAGUAUUUAGUAGCAAAGUAGUAUGGAAAUAACGGUAACAGUAGCAGUUUUGUAGUAAUUGUAAUAGCAGCAACGACAAAGUAACUAAGCAAAGAGCAAUAUGUGAGAAGCUCGUAGGCAUUGGAUCAGUGAUGGAUAAUUAUGUCGGAUGCGAUUCCUCAUGUAAUGGUUAUAACAUAGGGUGACACAGAACUAGCUCCAGUUCAUCAAUGUAAUGUAGGCAUGUAUUCCGAAUAUAGUCAUACGUGCUUAUGGAAAAGAACUUGCAUGACAUCUUUUGUCCUACCCUCCCGUGGCAGCGGGGUCCUACUGGAAACUAAGAGCCUCUUUGAUUCGCAGGAUUGUCAAAAUGAAGGAAUAGGAAAAAUGCAGGAAUAGGAUGCCAUGUCUUAUAGUAUCCUACAGGAUUUGAAAGAAUGUUUGAUAGCGCAGGAAAAACAAAGGAAUUUUACAAAGAGGUUUGAGUGGAUAGAAAUUUUCCUCCAAAAUGUAGUACAAAUGGAUCCUAUGGAAAAAUUCCUAAGGAUGUCAAUCCUACGAAUCAAACGAGCAUCACAGGAAAAAUUCCUAAGGGUUCAAAUCCUCCAAAAAUCCUAUGCAAUUCCUUUGAAUCAAAGGAGCCCUAAGGGAUAUUAAGGCCUCCUUUUAAUAGAGUACCGGACCAAAGCAUUAACACUUAGUGAAUACAUGAACUCCUCAAACUAUGGUCAUCACCGGUAAGUAUCCCGAUUAUUGUCACUUCGGGGUUAACGGAUCAUAACACAUAAUAGGUGACUAUAGACUUGCAAGAUAGGAUCAAGAACUCACAUAUAUUCAUGAAAACAUAAUAGGUUCAGAUCUAAAAUCAUGGCACUCGGGCCCUAGUGACAAGCAUUAAGCAUAGCAAAGUCAUAGCAACAUCAAUCUCAGAACAUAGUGGAUACUAGGGAUCAAACCCUAACAAAACUAACUCGAUUACAUGGUAAAUCUCAUCCAACCCAUCACCAUCCAGCAAGCCUACGAUGGAAUUACUCACGCACGGCGGUGAGCAUCAUGAAAUUAGUGAUGGAGGAUGGUUGAUGAUGAUGACGGCGACGAAUCCCCCUCUCCGGAGCCCCGAACGGACUCCAGAUCAGCCCUCCCGAGAGAGUUUAGGGCUUGGUGGCGGCUCCGUAUCGUAAAACGCGAUGAAUCUUUCUCUCUGAUUUUUUCUCCGUGAACGUGAAUAUAUGGAGUUGGAGUUGAGGUCGGUGGAGGUCCAGGGGGCCCACGAGGCAGGGGGCGCGCCCUAGGGGGUGCCCCCACCCUCGUGGACAGGGUGUGGCCCCCCUGACGUUGAUUCUUUCGCCAAUAUUUUUUAUUAAUUCCAAAAAUUUGCUCCGAGGAUUUUUAGGUCAUUCUGAGAACUUUUAUUUCUGCACAAAAAUAACACCAUGGCAGUUCUGCUGAAAACAGCGUCAGUCCGGGUAAGUUCCAUUCAAAUCAUGCAAGUUAGAAUUCAAAACAAGGGCAAAAGUGUUUGGAAAAGUAGAUAUGACGGAGACAUAUCAAAGACGGACCUAAAGUGAGGGAGGGUGUCGGUGUCAAAACCGGCGAAUCUCGGGUAGGGGGUCCCGAACUGUGCGUCUAAGGCUAAUGGUAACAGGAGGCGGGGGACACAAUGUUUACCCAGGUUCGGGCCCUCUCGAUGGAGGUAAUACCCUACUUCCUGCUUGAUUGAUCUUGAUGAUACGUGUAUUACAAGAGUUGAUCUACCACGAGAUCGUAGAGGCUAAAUCCUAGAAGCUAGCCUAUGAUUAUGACUGUUCUUGUCCUACGGACUAAACCCUCCGGUUUAUAUAGACACCGGAGGGGGCUAGGGUUACACAGAGUCGGUUACAGAAAAAGGAAUCUUCAUAUCCUAACCGCCAAGCUUGCCUUCCACGCAAAGGGGAGUCCCAUCCGGACACGGGGCGAAGUCUUCUAUCUUGUAUCUUCAUAGCCCAACAGUCCAGCAUAUGCAUAUAGUCUGGCUGUCCGAGGACCCCUUAAUCCGGGACUCCCUCAGUAGCCCUUGAACCAGGCUUCAAUGACGAUGAGUCCGGCGCGCAGAUUGUCUUCGACAUUGCAAGGCGGGUUCCUUCUCCGAAUACUCCAAAGUAGAUCUUGAACAUACGAAUCAUGUCCGGCUCUGCAAAACAAAUUCCAUAUACCACCGUGGAGCGCAUAAUGUUUUCACGAGUCCAAUCCGCUGACAGCUUUUGCAACAUGACAUUACGUCAUCGUUCAGCCAUUAUUUUGAAUCAUUUUUCCAACCUGCUGCUCCACGCUUCGCGAGGCGGUUUUAUUGGCACAUCUUGUCGAAGCGGAGAUCGUGUCCCCUUAUUGCGGGAUUCUCAUCAACACGGGCAUGGGUAACCCAACCGUCCCGUUGGUAUGAUUCCUUAAGAAUAGGCAUGUUUUAAGGCCACGUAGGGGAUGUUUGAUAUUCGUCAUCUUUAUAAGGAGGCCGAGACCCGCCUUUCCCCUCUACGCUACUCCCCUCCUCCUCCCACCUCGAGUUCCAACACCCAAGGUUUAACCAGUCGCUUCGAACCUCAGGCCAUGUCCGGAUCCAGCUUUCAAGGCUAGUGGACGGCUUCUUCUGUCACCGAGGAGGAUAUCACGAAGCUCAGGGAGGCGAGGUAUUUGACCGCGGAGAUCCUUCAUAGGCUUCCUGCACAAGGGCAGGCUAUCCCUACUCCUAGACCUAAUGAGAGGGUCGUAUUUAUCCCUCACUUCCUCCGGGGGCUAGAUUUCUCCCUUCAUCCCUUUGUUCGAGGGCUCAUGUUUUACUACGGAGUAGAUUUCCAUGAUCUAGCUCCGGACUCCUUCCUUUACAUCUCAUCAUUCAUUAUCGUAUGUGAGGCCUUCCUCCGUAUCUCUCCACACUUCGGCUUAUGGCUCAAGACCUUCAAUGUAAAGCCGAAGAUAAUAGACUGGAGACAUGCGGAGUGCGGAGGUGCUUUAAUAAGCAAAUUGGCCGACAUCGUCUGGCCAAAGGGUUCCUUCACUGCAGCUUCCGGCCUAUGGCAACGGGAGUGGUUUUAUAUCACGGAGCCUCGUGGUACAAAGUGGGUGGCUCCAACCGCCUUCCGAUCCGGCCCUCCGCCACAGCUUGCAUCAUGGAUCAACAAGGGGCUGGAUUGGGGAUCGCUAGAUGAAGUUCAAAUACUACAAAGCCGCAUUCAAGACCUUAUUUAGAAGGACAUCGAUCUCAUCAAGGUAAUCCAAGUUAUGUUAGUCCGUCGGGUCUUGCCAUGCCAGCGUCGACCUCUCCGUAUGUGGGAGUUCAAUCCGGAAGGACCGUGAACCAUUCAGCGCUUCUUCGGCACAACGCUCGAAGGGAUGUAUGAAUUAUUCUUCGGGUCACGAUAAAGGUGUCCGAACACCACAGAGGACGCAGGCCUCGACUGCAACCAUCCGGAUUCCCCGGUAAGCACUCAAUUUCCGAACACGUUUUUAGUUUAAGUUUCCCAUAACAAAACUGAGAAAACCAUACUCGCCAGGGCUGGGUAAAGAAGGCGGAGAGGAUCAGGUGUUCGGCCCCUCUUCCCGAAAACUCAGCGGACCCAGUGUUAACCAGGAUGUUGGCUCCGGCACCUUAUCAAGUGCCGUUGAGGGAAGAAAAGGAGAGGAGUGGAGAGGCCCAAAGUGGCCUUCGUACCGGAGGUGCGUCAUGCACCGUAUCCGGGGAAAUCGGAACUCCCGUGUCGGAGGAUGAACGGGGAGGAGAAUCUAACAUUCCCUCCCCCCACGGGAAGAAGAGAGCCGCCCCCGAAGACCUGAAGGCAGAGGCCUCCAAGCGAGGGAAGAAAUCCCUAUCAGGGGGCUCGGAUUCGGGAGGCGAUAUUGCCGCACAGUGCCCACAAGGGGGCCAGCCUUUAGCCGAACCGUAAGUGAACAAAGGUGCUUUAAUAAGCAUACCCCGUUCUUUUCUUGUUUGUGAGGGUAAUACCUGAAACGUAUGUUUUGCAGUUCGGCCUAUAGCCUCUCUCAACAAUCUUCGUCCUCGGGGGAUCUUCUUCCGGAGAUGAUGGAGAGUGAAACGCCACCUCAUACUUCCCCGCCCCGUAAGGCGGACGACCCCGAGGUGUCAUCCCGGAGGAUCUCUCCCGAUCCGCGAAUGAGGACAAGGCCAGAAGAUGACUCUUCAGCCGCCCGAGGUCCGGGGUGUUUGGCUCCUAAAGACACCAACAACAAAAGCCCCGGACUAUCCGAUAUACAGCCGGACAUAUGGACGGGUCUUCUGCGGCAAGCACCUAUCUCGGAGAAACAUCGUACCUUAAUGGGUACGGUGAUUGAGAGAAUUCCGUCCGCAAAAAGCGGAUUGAAUGAAGCCUUUACGAGCCUGCUAAGAGGCUUUGAGGUACGCAAUGUGACAUUUUUUUAAUUGUACCAUAAACGCAAGGUGUACUGUGUAUAGAUAGUAGCCCCUGAGACUCUGGUUGCCCUCCGAACGGGGCGAUCAGAGGAUCAAAAGAUAAAUAAGCUCAGGUAAUAAUUUUGCUAAUUUGUACACAGGCGGCUGCAACCCCGGCCACUGCCCGGGCUGCUGAAUUUGCCGAACUGAAGCGGCAACUUGAUGUAGCGGAUGAUGACAUCACGCUCGUGAACAAGCGGCUUGACGAGGCGUAAGGUAUGUCUUUUGGGCGGUCAAUGAGUAUAAAUAGGAGCAUGAUGCUGGAAUUUAUAAUAUGCUUGACUGCAGAUGGUGCUGCCGCUGUGGAGACCCUUCGGGCUAAGCUUGCCCGGGCCAAGGAGCAAGCCAGGAUAAGCAAUGUGGCUGCCGAGAAGGCAGUUGAUGAAUUAAAAGCCGAACAGGCUGCUCAUCGCCUGAGUGAGGAGAGAAUAUCCAACAUGGCGCUUGAGCUAAGGGAUGCCGCUAGCCAAUAUGCACUUCUCGAGAAAGAGAACAAAGAAAAAAUGGCUGGCCUUCAGAAGGCCUUACAAGCGGCAAAGGAAACCCGGUUAGAGGCCAGAGCGGCACGGGAGGAGAUCCGGCAAGCCGGGGAGAUCGCGGCUGGGAAGCCCUUUUUAUUACGAACUAAGUUCGGCGAUCCGAAGUAUGCCCCGCUUGAUCAAAUGUGGAGUUCUCCGGAUGCAUAUUUGGACUUGUCGAAGAGUGCUUCUGAUGCGACGCAGUUUUUCCAGGCCCAAGAAGGCCAUGAAGUGGAACGUCUUUUCUGGUCGCAAUUUAGCAUGCCAAGGCGUCCGCUGCUAUUGAAUGAGCAGAUGGCCGAAUGGGCCGAGCUCCACAGGAUAUCCGGACUUGCCAUGAAGGCUAUCGUGGACCGGCUGUGGCCUGAGGGACCAAUUGCGAAUAGUUAUUUUGGUUUAGUGCAACAACUUGUUCGUGCGGUGUCGCAUAUCGACGCUGUCAAGCGGUCAAUGUGCAUAGAAGGUGCACGGAUGGCCCUUGCCUGUGUGAAGACAUAUUGGGCGAAGAUGAAGGCCACCGAUACUACAACAGGGGGUCCACCCAAGGCUCAGGACACACCAGAUCACUAUUUUGAAGAAGUCUUAGAGGGUGCCCGCUUGGUAGAGGGUCAGUCCUCGAAAAAUAUUAUGUUCGAGUAACAUGAAUCCGAAUUGUAAAAACAAUGCUUAUGAUAAUGAAGGCUGUGUUUAUACUUUUGCCCGUAAAGUAUUUUAGUGCCUCCUGUGCGGCCGUUUAUGUAUAUAUGUAUAUAACCUGAAAGUUUGCAGUCGUCGGCUUCAGCCCCCUCGCGUAUAACGCGUGGGUGUUCGGAAAAGCACUUGAUCACACUUGACCCAACGUCUUGGUCCAUUAAGGAGGUGUUAGUGCGGCGAACUAGGCAAUCGGACUAUAGAGCUUUAACACUUUCACUUAGCCAUAGGAGUUUGACGGUGGGGCUACUAUAUAGCCCCUGGUAUGUCCGCGUUUAUCCGAAUACGGUGCAUUUACAUACGUGACCGGGAAACCGGUCCUUCGUUAAUGCGGAGGAAUCGCGAAGAUUCCGCUGAGUCAUCGAGUGGUUGACCAGCUCUCGCCUUAUCAUGACAGUCAGUUUUCGGCUUUCUCUACUGAGGUGCUUGUCCGGAUGAACCAGGGCACAAUCGCAGUAGUUCUCCCUUUACCACCUUAGCCAAUAUAGCGGAACGUAAGGUAGCAAGCACAGGAGCCGGGCAAACCCAACUAUUGACCAAAGACAUGAUUCGGAGCUGAUGCAUAUAAGGCCGAAACUCGCGACGCCGAACACUCCCGAAGGUAUUAGGACUCUUCACUAUAUACCGGGCUGGAUACAGCCCCCGGUAAUGAACCCUGAAUUCAAGGCAGGUGCUACGACCCGGCGUGAGGAGAGAGCGCCUGUGGUGAGAGCAUAGUUCUCAAAGCACACUGCUGGCUGCUUCUAGAACAUCCAGUUUAGUACGGCGAAUAGUAAGUUCGCAAAUACUGCCGAUAUCUUUCCUGGGCGUUUUAUAUGCCAGGAGGGUAUGGAACAACAAGAGAUAAUAAUAAGAAAAAAGGUUUACACAGGGUCUUAAUCUAAACAGAAACCUUAAAGCGGGGCCCUGCUGCACGUCUGCGCCUUUGUCUCCGUUGUGCAGUGUCCUUGAAGGGUAUAUCAUGAUGGCCUAUCUGUAAAAAAGAAAGAACCAGGUGAAAGAAUCUGGUAUGGCCGUGGGUAUAGUUUGUUAGUUUUGAUGAACCGUGAACUGUAGCUUCUUGAGUCCGAAUAGGCUCAAGCCGGACUAUAGACUUCUAACGUGCAGGGUGCCCCCCGCGCCACCCAAGGAAUUUUGAGUGUACAUUUAUGUAUACGGGAAAACAUGUACAGUCUUCUUAUGGGGCAAUCUAUGGGGGCAGGGCUGCUAAACAAGCUCAGGUUUAUCUGAGCUGUUACACGUAGGUGUGCGCCGAACACGUUUGGCUGUGUCCGCGGUCUUGAGGACCGAUGAGCUGCUCGGCUUGAAAAGUCCGCUUCGUGCUUCGGCUACUAGAGCCGCUGCGUAUUCUUCUGUAUGAAGAGAACGCUCUGUAUUUCCACUCACCGUGAUAACACCACGUGGUCCAGGCAUCUUGAGUUUAAGAUAAGCGUAAUGCGGGACUGCAUUGAAACGGGCGAAGGUCGUUCGUCCGAGUAGUGCAUGAUAGCCACUUCAGAACGGAGCAAUGUCGAAGAUUAGCUCUUCGCUUCGAAAGUUAUCGGGAGAGCCGAAGAUGACAUCCAAUGUUAGAGUGCCCGUGCAGCGGGCCUCUAUGCCUGGUACUACUCCUUUAAAGGUAGUGCUGCUUUGCUUGAUUCUUGACGGGUCUAUCCCCAUCUUACGGACAGUGUCCUGAUAUAUCAGAUUGAGACUACUGCCGCCGUCCAUGAGGACUCGGGUGAGGUGGUAUCCGUCAAUUAUUGGGUCGAGCACUAAGGCAGCCGAGCCCCCGUGACGGAUACUAGUCGGAUAAUCCCUGCGAUCGAAGGUGAUCGGACAGGCCGACCAUGGGUUGAAUUUGGGGGCGACAGGCUCUAUAGCAUACAUGUCUCGGAGUGCGCGUUUGCGCUCCCUCUUUGGGAUAUGGGUGACAUAAAUCAUGUUCACUGUUUUGACCUCCGGUGGAAAUUUCUUCUGUCCCCCCAUAUUUGGCUAGCGAGAUUCGUCCUCGUCUUCGCUUUGCGGUCCCUUCCCUUUGUGUUCGGCAUUGAGCUUGCCGGCCUGCUUGAAGACCCAACAUUCUCUGUUGUUAUGAUUGGCUGGUUUGUCGGGGGUGCCAUGAAUCUGGCAGGACCUUUCUAGAAUUUUAUCUAGGCUACAUGGACCAUCUCUGCUGCCUUUAAGUGACUUUUUCCGUUGACCGGGUCAAGAGCCCCUGAAUCCGGCGUUUACCGCCGUAUUGUCUGGGCUUUCUUCAUUGUUUUGACGUCGUCCGGGGUGUUAUUCCCUCUUGUGCCGGUAUCGCUAUUUUUACCAUGGCGUGAUUUAGAGUGGCGCUGCUGACGUCGGCGCUUUGGCUGCUUCUCAAAAGGUUUAUCCUCAACUUGAUCCUUUUUGUCAUCGCCAUGGUCUCCUUUGGGUGUAUUCACCAUGUAUAUGUCGUAUGAGGAGGUGGCUGUCCAGCGCCCUGUGGGCGGUGGUUCCUGUUCUUCUCCGGCAUCGUCGUCCAUACCGUCGAUGUCUUCGGAGUCGAAAUCAAGCAUGUCGGUCAAUUCGUCGAUAGUGGCUAUCAAGUGGGUGGUGGGUGGGUAACGAAGUUCUUCGUCGUCCGCUUCCCACUCAAGUCGGACAUAGUUCGGCCAAGAUGUAGGAGAUAUGCCCUAGAGGCAAUAAUAAAUGAUAUUAUUUAUCUCCAAGUUCAUAAUUAUGUUUAUGUUCCAAGCUAUAACUGCAAUGGUUCUCGAGUCUGCAAUAUCCACGAGGCUCGGAGGGAAACUCAUGUGCACGUGUGGUAUACUAAACAUUAAAAUGUAUUCCUAGUCUUGCCUCUAAGACUGGCUCAUGUAUUGCAUGAUGAUCCUGUUUUCCUGAUCAUGGGAUUGUCUAUGCUGGCAAUUUUGAGGGCACAAUGUUGGUAGAACAGUUGUGUUGAAUCAACCCAAAUUGAUGUUAUGCUAUGAGAUUCUUUUCGUCACAAGUUUAUGGUUAAUAUCACAGAGAUAGUUAAUGUUUGCACAAUUCCUUAGACCAUGAGAGUAUUGAGUUCCUUCAUGCUUGCUUCGUGAACUUUGGGGUUUGUUAAACGUCAUCUUUAACUGGGUGGCUAUUACGGCAGCUUACGAGUUCACGGAAAAGUAUGGCAAGUAACAAGAUAGCUCAACAUUGGGAUUUGCUCCUCCGACGAUGGAGAGAUAUUCUCGGGCCCUCUCGGCGUUACGGUAACCAUAAUCGUCUGGCCAGACACCUUGUGAUUUGAUCACCGGGAUGCCGGAACACGGAAACAAGAAAAGAGAACAAAACUAGUAACGAGGUAACUUGCAUGGUGGAAAAAUUGUUCGUCUACGGGGAUGCAAUAAAUCUCACCUCGGGUGUUUGUGACAUAUUGCGAAGCAACAGGAAUAGCUCACUGCAACUGGAGGUUCACUCGAAUAUUUAUUCGUGUGGGUAUAGGGGUCAAUAUGGGUGUCCACGGCUCCGAUGUUGAUCAUUGAUCGGAAGGGGUUCCGGGUCAUGUCUAUACUUCACCGAACCUACAGGGUCACAUGCUUAAGGGUCAUCUAUCUGCUGAAUACUAGACAGGGAGUCUGAGAGAAAAUCACCGAAAAAGUUUCGGACACCAGAAAAGUUUCGGACACUGGAAAAGUUCCGCAGAGAGAGGUCAUCGAAUGAGUUUCGGUGAAACCGAAAGUUGUUUCGGGGUAUACUAUUAAGUCAAAUUGGUUUCGGCACAUGCCUGAUAAUUCUUGGAGGGUGCCAGAGUCAUUCUGGAAACUUUCUGGAAUUUUUCGGGAUAAAAGCUGGAAAUGCUCCGAAGCUACCGGAACCACUUCAGAUGCUUUUCGCAGAUGAAAAUCAGUAAUCUGGAAUUGUUUCGGAAUGCGUUGAAAAUUAUUUUAGUGGGUACUGGAAAUGUUCUAAUUCCACAUAAAUAUUUUUAGUUCAAAUAGACGUUGAAAAAUGUCGUCGUGAAUAGUGAAAGUGCUUUUUGGGAUAUUUAUGGAAAGCCACCUUUUGGGGCUUUUCUCAGAAGGCUUCUAGAAGGACUUGGGGAUCAAGGAACCCACUUUGGGGGGCCCCCAUGAAGGUGGGACGUUGGAGGGUGCAGCUCCUCCAUGGGGCUCCACUUGUCAUCCCUUUAUGCCCUUUAUGCCCUUUAUGUGUGACAUAAAGUGUGGGCAUUUUGGGUUUUUCAUGUGCCCCCUACCCCUUGGGUUUUUCCUAUAAAUAGAGGUGGAGAGGCACUCUCCACACUCACUCUUUCUCACAUACAAGUGCCAUUGCAUGAUCUGGCUCUCUCUCUCUCCCUCCCAGCGAAAUUGUUUCGUAGAGUCGAAAGGCUGUCUGGGUUCCGGCAGGAACUAGUUCUGGACGGCGAAGCCCUGUCGGAUAGAUGACAUCGUAUGUGUGCAACUCUGUAGAGAGAUCGUAGUUUCGGUCUUAGUUCGGGAGUGCCUCCCGAAGGGCUGUCCGUGUGACCGUCCGAGUUUCAAAGGUCCUCCCGAAGGGCUGUCCGAGUGACUGUUCGAGUUUCGAAGGUCCUUCCGAAGGGCUGUCCGCGACACCGUUUGGGGGACUGUCCGACCACCUCCCGGAGGGCUGUCCGACGGGCAGAUGAGGGUAUACAUCCUCACGGUUGGGAGGUUGUAAAUCCUAGCUGCGGGGAUCUGCACCACAGAUCGUCAGCGACUCUACUUCCCGCUGCACUACGAGUCGGUAACGAAAAAGAUCAAACCUUGUAUGCAGUCUCCAUAGUGGUCCUGGGCUGGUGCGUAAAUCGGAUUUUUUUCUGCUACGUUUCCCAACAGUGGCAUCAUGAGCCGUGCUAUGCAUAGAUGCAGGUUGCGAUCUAGAAUACAUAGAGAUUUAUGGGUGUUGCACAAUAUAAUUAGGUAAUAGAUGAGUUCUAUUACUAAAAAAAUAUUUGUGCGGGUAGCAGAUGAAAUCUGUUACCCGAUGUUCUUGUUGCUUCCCUUGAAUUUGCAUAAUCCUGAUCUUGACGGCAUGGUGGAAUCUCACAAAGUUCUGGCAAUCCGCGAUCCUUUCAUGCUGCUCCUGAGUAUACUGAUUGACAGAUCAACGAAGUGCUAACAGUUCUUUGGGUUCCACCAUAGUUAAAGAAAGAUGGAUGUUUCGCAGACGAAACGGCAAUGCAGAUAUGAUCUGCACGGGGGUCAUGCGUAUGACAAAGUUUGGUAUGGGGUUCGAGAUUUUAUUAUCUCGUGCUUCAUACACCCCGCAAAGUUAAUCUAGCGACUUGAAUUAUCAUACUUGAUGAUGGACGUUGGUAGCUUCGGUUUGUUUUGAAACCUUAGAAGCCACGAAUAACAAGUUUUUGCAUGAACAGAUUAGAGGCGUCUAACUUGGUUUUGCAGGAGGGUUUGCAUGUGCAUGUGAUGUGGUAUAGCAGUGCUCAUAAUAAUUUGAUUAUGUAUGAAAUGACUAUAUGAUGUAAAUUGAUUAACAUGACCUGCGUGUCAUGAUUCAGCAUGAUGGCUGGAGCCAUAUGAUUGUCACUUUAAUGACCUGCGUGUCAACCUUAAGUAAUGCACUUAUUUUAUUAGCUAUAGAGAUAGCAAUAUUAUCUGGUGCGUCGACAAGGUGGUGGCAAUCUUCGGAAGGUGAACACCGACGCAAAUGCCGAAGACGAAGAAAUGAAAUACUUCUCCGUCAGAAAGGGCUACCAUAUCAUGCUAUUAUGAAUUGCCUGAGAUGUUUAUCCCUUAUGAUGCACCCUUCUUGAUUGCGCGGUAGUCGCUUUUUAUUAGGGUGAUAUCUCACUUAAAAUAUCAAAGUAGUUAGUGUUCACCCAAGUGUAGCACCGUCUGAAAUUCGUAUCAUUUCGGGGUGCGCCAUGUACACAUGAGCACGAACGAAUCGAGAGGAAUGAGGCGGGUGAGGUCAGACCUCGCAGGAAGGUCACUUGGUUGUCUUUGACGUUCAGGCAGGAGAGUCCUAAGCUCGGAACACGCCCAUUGAAAGAUGAACAAGAAUCACAUAGAGAUGUGAUCGGCAAGUUGGCCUACCGAUUGAAAUUCGUGUCAUCAGUGAUGAACCCGUCAAUGGCAUCGAAUAGAAAUAUGGAUCUUGAAUCACUCUAAGUCAAUUAUGAGAGAUAUUGAUUUGAGUGGGAGCGCACUGUUGAAUUAACAUGUUUAAUUCUCAGUGCAAUUAAUUAUGAACAUUGUCUAAGUGUUUCUUGCAAAAUAGUUGUAGAAUAAUGGCUCGUGUUUUCCACCUUCCCUGUUAAAAUUGAAUAGUUGUUAAAUAUCUGGUUAAAACUGUACGAUUGGUAACGUAGUGUGAGGAUUGUCCUCAAAAGUGUCGAGAAGUACUGUGUCCUAUUGCAUGCUUUCGGUAUCCUCCCGCAAAUGAUAUGGAUGAUUUGACUCUCGUCCUUCGAUCCAAAAGCUAGAAUUCCGUUACGCUCAAGUGCAAAAUGUUUUCUUCCAUGAGACUCGAACUUCGAAAGUUUGGGAUAGUUAUGUGAUAUUCAUGGAACUGAAAAUUGUUUUCAGAUACAAACAAAGCAAUGUUUGUUUGCAAAGGAUUAGUAAAGUGUUUACUGGGCAUUUGACUGUUAGGAGAGGGAUCCAGAAGAACGCCAUGUGCUGAAGGUGAAUAAAACCACCAUUAAAGAGAAAGGGAAUAUCCAAAAGGGUGUUAGUGAGACUUUCACCCCUAGGAUGUCCAGGGCUAAAAGCCACUAUUAAGUUGGGUGCUUCUUCUGAGAGUAGGAGAAAUACUAAAAGUUAAACAAUUAGAAGUAUAUAUGCAGAAAGAAAGAUGACUGGAAUAUCCAGCUCAUGUAUGAAUGUCAUACAAGUUUUUGAUGUAUAGAAGGCUGGUCAAAGAUAUAGUUCUUGGGAAUUAUGGUUAAACAUGUUAAUCACUAAUUCUUGGGCAUUGUGAGUUGAUCACAAAGAUACCCGCUCGAUUGCAUUCUGUUGCAAAUCCAUGCAAGAACUACUACCGCCUGAAAGACUAGCCAGGAAUGAGGUUUUGAUACGCGAUAGGAUCAGAGUAAAAGUUACUAUACCUUCCAUCGGUGUAUUCCCUAUGUAUUUAUUUUCAUAAUUCAUUAUAGAGUUUUACACACUCUAGCCCUUUGUGUAAGGUAUCUUGCAAAAAGGUUGUUCAUAAGAGAACUUUUAAUGUUCAGUAUUAUGAAUAAACAUAAGGGCCAUACUUUCAUUAUGAAUGAGAUGUAUGUUAUGAAUAAUGAUAUUAAUAUAUUACCUCUGUGUUUACUUUCAUAAUUCAUUUUAGAGUUUCAUACACUCUAUCCCAUUGCACAAUGUUUAUUGCAAGAGGGUUGUUCAUAAAAGAACAAUUGUUGUUCAGUAUUAUGAAUAACAUGAAGGGCCAUGCUUCCAUCCAAGAUGGGAUGUAUGUUAUGAAUAUUGAUGGUAAAAUGAUACAUCCAUAACAUUAACGCUAAAUGUCGCAAGACUAUGAGAAUACCACACAUGUGUGGCACUGCAUUUGGUCACAUUGGAGAAACCCGGACGGAAAAAAUCCAUUAUGAUGUAUUUUGAAGUCGUUUGAUUUUGAAUCAUCUGACACUUGCAACUUUCCUCCAAAAAGUGACGUGACCGAAAUACCGUUCACAGGCCAUAAGGAACGAGCAAAAAAAUUAUUGGUGAUCAUACAUUUUGAUGUGUGUAGUUCAAUAAAUGUUGUUGCAAGUAGUGGAUUUAUCUAUCUUCAGAAAUGAAUCAAGUAGAUAUAUGAUAUUUGCUUUAUGAUACGUAAGUCCGGAUCUUUUGAAAUCAUUCGAAAGGUUUUUCAAAAAUGAAGUAGAAGUUAUUGUAACAAGAAAGUUAUGUUUCUACAAUUUGAUUGCAGAAAGGAAUAUUUGAGUUACAAGUUUAGCGAAUGUCUGAUGAGUUGUGAAAAGAGUUUCAUAACUUACAACUCCCGGAACACCACCAUGAGUGGAAUGUAUGUGAAGAUGUAAUCAAACCAUUUAUGACAUGGUAAGAUCAAAGAUGACAUAAAUAAAUUUGCCAUUAUCACUUUUAAAGAGUAAUGCUUUAGAGACUGCGGCUUUUACACUGAAAAGAGCUCCAUCGGGUCUGUUGAAAUGACGGCAUGGUAUGGUACGCCCAACCAUGUUGUAUCUUUUCUUAACAUUUGGAAUAUGGGGCUUGUGUAAAAGGUUAUAAACCUAUUCGAAAUCAGAAAGUGCUACUUUGUAAGUUAUCCCAAGUCAUUGGGUAUUCCCCCACCACUAUACCGAGGCAAAGGAUUUUGCCACAAAACGGUAUGCUUUUAAAGAGAAUAGUUCUUGCAAAAGGGUAAGUGGGAGGACAGUGAAACUCGACGAGAUAACAAGUAUCUUCGUCAUCAGGUUAAAGGAAAGGAACCUUGGAAGUGAUUCCAGAGUUUCCUACUGCGACUGAUACGGAAGCCUCUACAUGAGAUGUAUGGACUUCGAUCGAACUUGCAGCUGAACAACGUAGGCAAAGCUCGUGCAAACCUCUCAUGUGCGCAAACAAGAUAUUGUUGUUAGACAACAGUAUACCUAUGAUACACAAGGAAGCGUUGAUGGGCCCUGACUCCAGAAUUGGCUAAAUGCCAAUAUAAUCCAAGAUAGUUUCCAUAACUGAUUCAAGAUCUUGAUAAACCCUCCGAAAGACCUAGAGUCUAACGGAUUGUAAUGGGACUAUAAACUGAUACGGAUAAAAUGUUUUAUCCAUUAAGCUCUACUUGUUGCAAGAACAAGUUCAAGGAGUUGACUACAAUGAGAUUCUCUCACCGUAGCAAUGCUUAAAUUCGGUUCGGGUUAAACUAGCAAUUAAUACAUAUUUCAAACAUGAGAUAUGAAACAUGGAUGACAAAAGAAUUUCCAUGAAAUGGAAAUACAACCUAGGACUUGUAUGUGAUACAAUCCAAAGUAUUUUGUCAGUCCAGAGUAUGCUAGUAAGUAUGCAAACUUCAGAGUUCCAGCAUUGGACAAAACAGAGCAAAAUGGAGUUGGAAUCUUCGUUUUUGAUAGAAUGGUCAAAGGGGUUUGACUUCAUCAAUGGGUAACGAAGAUUCUUGUGGUUUCAAGAAAGUAAGUGGGAGCAUAAUAAUAUUUCUGAAAACCUUGUGUGCUUGACACAUUGUUAAUUGGAAAUAAAUUUCUUGACACGAAUUAGGUCUUCAUUAGAAAAUAGUUUUUCUAUGAAAUGCUUGGGCUAAAUAGCCUUGAUAUUAGGCAUAAUGAUCUAUAGAGAUAGAUUUACUUAAUAGGGCUGAGCAAAAAUACAUAUUGACAAGAUGCUAAACCGUUUAGCACUAAUAACGACAAUGAGUGAUUCUUGCCGAAGUCACAUGGAAAGAGUUUUUGCAAGAAUCGGUGUCCCAAAACACUGAUGAGCAAAAUACAUGAUGGAGAUUCCACACACUCCUGUGUUUGGAUUAAUCAUGUAUUCCAUGGUAUGUAAAACAACCAAAUAUGUCCAAUACUUCCAAGCUGUUGCGAGUAUAGAUACCAAAGUGAUCAAAAGUACUGAUCAUGGGACAACAGUGAAAAAAGAUCAUUGAGUACUAAAGUAGCACUGAAGACAUGUUUUCUCGCAAGUGGAGAUCAUGAAGAGUUCGUUGUAAAAGGUUACAUCGAUACAGUAUUCAUCAUUUCUCCAUGCGAUUUUCGAUUUAAAUUGAGGGUUUUGUGUAACACACAAUAUGGUGGUGCAGUUAGUUGGAAAUUGUUCCAAACAAGUUACUGUGGCGAAUUCUAUAAUAGAGGUGAAGUAUGUUGCCGCUUUAGAAGCGACAAAGACAAAGAUGUUGAAUCAUAUAGUUCAUUCAUGAACUUAGUAUGGUUCCAAGAAGGCUUUGGUCAAUGGGACACUAUUGCAGAUAGUUGCUCCAUAACUAAGUUUGAGGAAUCAGGUUUCGACCAAUGAUUCACAUAUAUACAAAGCCAAGUCCGCACAAAAUAUGAAUUUUGUGAAAGCAUGAAAACGCGAGGAUGUGCAGAGAUACACACGGAGCUGAAGUUGUCAGAUCCGAUGGACAUCAGGCUGUACCACAUGCAAAUCAUUUUUUACACCGGUAUGCCAUAGGUGUAAAGUGCAUUAGCAUUAACUAGAUUAUUGACUCUAGUGCAAGUGAGAGUCUGCAGGAGAUAUGCCCUAGAGGCAAUAAUAAAUGAUAUUAUUUAUCUCCAAGUUCAUAAUUAUGUCUAUGUUCCAAGCUAUAACUGCCACGAUUCUCGAGUCUGCAAUAUCCACGAAGCUCGGAGGGAAACUCAUGUGCACGUGUGGUAUACUAAACGGAAAAAUGUAUUCCUAGUCUUGACUCUAAGACUGGCUCAUGUAUUGCAUGAUGAUCCUGUUUUCCUGAUCAUGGGCUUGUCUAUGCUGGCAAUUUUGAGGGCACGAUGUUGGUAGAACAGUUGUGUUGAAUCGACCCAAAUUGAUGUUAUGCUAUGAGAUUCUUUUCGUCACAAGUUUAUGGUUAAUAUCACAGAGAUAGUUAAUGUUUGCACAAUUCCUUAGACCAUGAGAGUAUCGAGUUCCUUCGUGCUUGCUUCGUGAACUUUGGGGUUUGUUAAACGUCAUCUGUAACUGGGUGGCUAUUACGGCGGCUUACGGGUUCACGGAAAAGUAUGGCAAGUAACAAGAUAGCUCAAGAUUGGGAUUUGCUCCUCCGAUGAUGGAGAGAUAUUCUCGGGCCCUCUCGGUGUUACGGUAACCAUAAUCGUCUGGCCAGACACCUUGUGAUUUGAUCACCGGGAUGCCGGAACACGGAAACAAGAAAAGAGAACAAAACCGGUAACGAGGUAACUUGUAUGGUGGACAAAUUGUUCGUCCACGGGGAUGCAAUAAAUCUCACCUCGGGUGUUUGUGACAUAUCGCGAAGCAACAGGAAUAGCUCACUACAACUGGAGGUUCACUCAAAUAUUUAUUCGUGUGGGUAUAGGGGUCAAUAUGGGUGUCCACGGCUCCGAUGUUGAUCAUUGAUCGGAAGGGGUUCCGGGUCAUGUCUAUACUUCACCGAACCUUAGGGUCACAUGCUUAAGGGUCAUCUAUCUGCUGAAUACUAGACAGGGAGUCUGAGAGAAAAUCAUCGAAAAAGUUUCGGACACCGGAAAAUUUCCGCAGAGAGAGGUCAUCGGAUGAGUUUCGGUGAAACUGAAAAGUUGUUUCGGGGUAUACUAUUAAGUCAAAUUGGUUUCGACACAUGCCUGAUAAUUCUUGGAGGGUGUUAGAGUCAUUCUGGAAACUUUCUGGAAUUUUCCGGGAUAAAAGCUAGAAAUGCUCCGAAGCUGCCGGAACCACUUCAGAUGCUUUUCGCAGAUGAAAAUCACUAAUCCGGAAUUGUUUCGGAACACGUUGAAAAUUAUUUUAGUGGGUACUAGAAAUGUUCUAAGCCCACAUAAAUAUUUUCAGUUCGAACGGACGCUGAAAAAUGUCGUCGUGAAUAGUGAAAGUGCUUUUUGGGAUAUUUAUGGAAAGCCACCUUUUGGGGCUUUUCUCAAAAGGCUUCUAGAAGGACUUGGGGAUCAAGGAACCCCCUUUGGGGGGCCUCCAUGAAGGUGGGACGUUGGAGGGUCCAGCUCCUCCAUGGGGCUCCACUUGUCAUCCCUUUAUGCCCUUUAUGCCCUUUAUGUGUGACAUAAAGUGUAGGCAUUUUGGGUUUUUCAUGUGCCCCCUACCCCUUGGGUUUUUCCUAUAAAUAGAGGUGGAGAGGCACUCUCCACACUCACUCUUUCUCACAUACAAGUGCCAUUGCAUGAUCUGGCUCUCUCUCUCCCUCCCAGCGAAAUUGUUUCGUAGAGCCGAAAGGCUGUCUGGGUUCCGGCAGGAACUAGUUCUGGACGGCGAAGCCCUACCGGAUAGAUGACACCGUAUGUGUGCAACUCUGUAGAGAGAUCGUAGUUUCGAUCUUAGUUCGAGAGUGCCUCCCGAAGGGCUGUCCGUGUGACCGUCCGAGUUUCAAAGGUCCUCCCGAAGGGCUGUCCGAGUGACCGUUCGAGUUUCGAAGGUCCUUCCGAAGGGCUGUCCGCGACACUGUCUGGGGGACUGGCCGACCACCUCCCGGAGGGCUGUACGACGGGCAGAUGAGGGUAUACAUCCUCGCGGUUGGGAGGUUGUAAAUCCUAGCUGCGGGGAUCUGCACCACCGAUCGUCAUUGACUCUACUAUGAGUCGGUAACGAAAAAGAUCAAACCUUGUAUGCAGUCUCCAUAGUGGUCCUGGGUUGGUGCGUAAGUCGGAAUUUUUUUUUGUUUUCUGCUAUGUUUCCCAACACAAGAAUCUCCUGACAAGGAGAGGGACUUUAAUGAGUUUAACACAUCGCCUAGGGGUGAGUGUUGGAAGAUGCCCGCGGAGCUGAACUCUAAGAUCGGCGCCCGAUCGAUGGGUGCGGAUACACGCGGUUCGGAGCCUAUGGCCGGAGACGAGUCCGAGGUUCCGAUGACACAGGCCUCGCUGGAGGUCAGAUCUGUGUUCGGCUCUAGCGCCGCUGAGUCUGCGGCCUCCGUGGCGAGGUUGAGCUUCCCGUCCUUGGAUGGCGUGCUCUGCUCUGGAUCUAGGGCCGGAGAGGUUACAGGCGCUACCUCCCGAGCACAGCCCGAUGACAGAUUUAGGUCAUGUUCACCGCGGCGGCAGGGUGCGGCUGUCAUGGGUUCGAAUCCGUCGAAGAUCAAAUCUCCGCGGACGUCGGCGGUGUAGUUCAAGCUUCCGAACCUGACCCGAUGGCCAGGGGCGUAGCUGUCGACCUGCUCCAGAUGGCCAAACGAGUUGGCCCGCAGUGCGAAGCUGCCGAAUACGAAGAUCUGUCCGGGGAGGAAGGCCCCACCCUGGACUGCGUUGUUAUAGAUGAUUGAAGGAGCCAUCAAGCCUUACGGUGACGACACAGUGGAACUCUCAAUGAAAGCACCAAUGUCGGUGUCAAAACCGGUGGAUCUCGGGUAGGGGGUCCCGAACUGUGCGUCUAAGGCUAAUGGUAACAGGAGGCGGGGGACACAAUGUUUACCCAGGUUCGGGCCCUCUCGAUGGAGGUAAUACCCUACUUCCUGCUUGAUUGAUCUUGAUGAUACGUGUAUUACAAGAGUUGAUCUACCACGAGAUCGUAGAGGCUAAACCCUAGAAGCUAGCCUAUGAUUAUGAUUGUUCUUGUCUUACGGACUAAACCCUCUGGUUUAUAUAGACACCGGAGGGGGCUAGGGUUACACAGAGUCGGUUACAGAAAAAGGAAUCUUCAUAUCCUAACCGCCAAGCUUGCCUUCCACACAAAGGGGGGUCCCAUCCGGACACGGGACGAAGUCUUCUAUCUUGUAUCUUCAUAGCCCAACAGUCCGGCAUAUGCAUAUAGUCCGGCUGUCCGAGGACCCCUUAAUCCGGGACUCCCUCAGAGGGGGCGGCGACUCUGGAGAGAAGAGCGGUGGGAGAGGGAAUGUCGCUCACGGCAAGCCGUUUUCUGGAUGGAGCGCGCUCCAAAUACCCCAUUUCCCGGUCUAAUAUGGAGGCCCGCAAGCUGUAUUUGAAGCACUCCAGAAAUUGUGGCUAUCGAGGGUGGGAUAGCGACUCUGCUAGAGUGCAUCUUUUUGCCGAAAUCACCAUAAUGACGGUUAUUGUGAUGAUCGGGCCGACUUUUUUUCCAACAAAGAUCGGAUGGAUGAACGACACAAAACGCAGCCGCUUCAGCUCCAGAAAAGGCCUAGGGUUCCUCUGCCUCCUGUCGCUGCCGCCAGUCUAUCUUGUCUCCGAUGGCCUUAGGGCCAAGGGGGGCACGAUGGAUCCUGGCCCUUGCCUGCGGGAGGGCUCCGGAUGCUUCUUCGAGUUUAGUUAGGGUUUGUGUCAUGCUAAGGAAGACGAGAUGGCGGCGGCUCUCUAAAGAUGAAAUAAGAUUCUCCCUGCCUAGCGUCCAUCCCGGUGAUGCAUCGAGCAUCAUCCGUGGGCAUGUGGGUGUGUGUCUCCGGCGGAUCUGUCUUAGGUGGAUUUGCUUGGAUCUGAUUGUCGCCCGUCACGUUCGUGUGUUUUCAGGUUGGAUCCUUUCAAUCUACGCUACUAUGGUGGUUGUUGUUCUGGUACGCUGGUUCUGUGGGGUCUUAGCAUGAUUUCCCGAUUGUCUAUUACAAUAAGUUUUGCCCGGCUCCGGCGAUGGAGGGGCGAUGGUCUACGGAUUUGAAUGUAAUUUUUAUAAUUUCUAGUGUUUAUUCUACUGCCAUGAUUGAUGAUGAAUAGAUUGGAAGUGUUUCUUUUAAAUGGAUGGGACCAAUGUUGCUUUAAGACAUCUUACGAACGCCAUUGUUCGACGCGAAGGUGUACCAUCGAUAGACUGGGCCGCGCCGGCGUUAGAGCAUCUCUAGCAGUCCCCUUAAAAGUGGUCAAACCCUUAUGAUUUUUGCGUUUUAAGGAUUUGAUCGAAAAAAGUGUCCAGAACAUAAACCGUAAAAGUGAUCCAACCCGUAAAUUUUUUAAAGGGCACCGAAAAUCCACACCCGAGACCCUUAUGUUUGAAGGUUGGAAGGACGAACCGAGGGAGCCCCGUAUACCAGUCAAACCUCGUCGGAGCAAACACGCCGCCACGGAAUUUGCCGGAAUCCACCCGAAAUUCGUCACCGCACACCUGGAAAGGCUGCUGGACGCCGGAAUCGAUCGCCACCUGUUCGAAUUGGACGAGCUCGACCUCACCGUGGCCUCCCAUGACCUCAGCCUGGCCGCCGGAAUCCCUCCCUUUGCGGCUGACAAAGGGGCACGGCUCACGUGGCAUGGCCGGCAACGGAGCAUGGCGCAACCGGCGGGCGAUGAGGCGCGGUCGAUGGGGCUAGGCGCUACCGGCGUGGCGAAGGGGCGGCGCCGGCUAGGCUGGAGGAAGGAGUUCUUAUCCCAGUUUUACAAUUUGUUUUUACAGUAUCUAUUCGGCCGUAACUAAAAUAGACCUUUAAAAUCCUUUUUUGUCGAUCCUUAUCUCCGUUUUACAGUUUGUAGUUUUAAGGGGUCUGCUAGAGAUGCUCUUAUAACCGGAAGAAGGAAAUAUCCAGGUUAAAAAAAAACAAAACUGGUCUGUAGUUCUGUACCGCGCUGUUUUACAGGCCGCGUUGCCCAUCGGGAGGCGCCGCCGCUGGAGAUCGACGCGCAUCCUUCUUCCUCGGCGUCGGCGGCUGCUGCGUCCUCGUCCUCAUCGCCUACGUAAUACCUCCAACCCCUACCUCGUCCUGUACUCCAUCUCUCUGUCCCUCUCGUUCUGCUUCCCAUUCAGUUUCCGUUCCCCUGCGGAUGUCGCAUCAGAUCCGCCUUACAUCUCCAAGAUUAAUCACAACUCGAUAUAUGGAACUAAAUUGGGUAGAUAUAGUUAAGUCGUAGAUGGAUUCUGCUUAUUCUCGAAGAAGAAAAACAAUCCAGAUUGAGACUUUCCCUGCUUUAGAUGUCCAACAUUGCAGAUAAUAACAGAGGGAGAACCAUAUGUGCUCUGCUUUCAUUUUUCAGGCAGUAUCAACACUUUCCAGACACAGUAUUAGUUUGAGAAAUAGGCGAUCGUGAUGUGUAUUGUUCAGUAGACGCGAAGAAUUAUAUGAAACUUUAACAGCCCGUCUAUCUACCGACGUAGCUUCUACGUAGUUGUUAAUUUUAUUCUCAGGAGCAACAACGUCAGUAUUUUUUGUUAAUUUUAGUGUAGUGACGUGUUGAUGUUCGAACGACACACACAAGUCGUGUUUUCUGAAUCUUGGUAGCUCCUGUUUCUUCUUGUACAACUACACUUUGCUGCAUGCCUAACCUUUUGUCCUGAAUUUUAUGUGUCGCCAGGGAGAGCGCUGCCAUGCAAAUCAGGGCGAAGAGAACCUGCUAUGCCGCUGCCUCAUCUGGGGCACGCGGAUGGGCCGAGCUCCCGGACGACUUGCUCCGACCCAUCAUCGCUCUCCUCAGCUCGUUCCGCGACCUCCUCGCCUUUGGUUCCACCUGUCGUCCCUGGCGUGAUUUCUCAGCGCACACGUCCUCUUUGUACCCUCUCCUCCUCCACCCGAGCACCGAGAGCCAACGGUAUCCCUGGUAUGACUGUGACUACUGGACCCUUUUCCACGAAUGCACGUGGAGAUUGGCUGAUCCUGCUGCCGCCUCAUCCUAUCCCAGUUUGCUUUCCUUGAGUGAUCUCAGGGGCAUGUUCCUUCUGCGCUGCUCCUACGGUCACCUCAUCUUCUUCGACAACAAGGGGUUCUACAUUGUUAAUGCGUUCAGUGGCGCUAAGGUUGUGCCUCCUUGCCUCAAGUCAGACAACUUCAUUCACAUUAGCUAUGCCACCUUGACUGCCCCUGUUGCAUCCGCUGACUCGCAUCUCCUUGUCGGCAGCGGAGGCUAUCUGUUUCAGUGGCGCGUCGGGAGCGACUCUUGGUUGGAACACUAUCCUAAAGUUCCUUUUCUUAGGAUUGAACAAAUCGUGGCCUUCAAGGGCAAAACAUACACCCUGGGGUCUUUUGGGUCCUUCUGCAUCGUAUAAUUUUCGCCCUGUCUCUUAGUUCAGAAGUUUGAAAUUAUGUUUGAAGAAGAUAGAACUGAAGAUCGCUAUUGGACAAAUCAAAAAACAUGGCUUGUGGUGUGCGACGUGCUUCUCUUAAUCAAACUUGAGGCAGUAAAAAGGACAAGCUCUGAGGUUUUCCAGUUCAAGGCCUUCAAGCUCAAGUCAUUGGACGCCAAGAACAAGAAGGCAAGGUGGGAGAAGGUGGACAGGUUGAAUAACUGGGCCAUCUUUGUCAGCGCCGACGGGCGAUGCGAGGCGUUGUCGUUCAUGAACCCGGAGAGAUGGGGAGGGAGGAGCAACCACAUAUAAUUCCCAAGUUAUCAGUCUGAACAACCUUGGGCUGCAGUGCAACUAUGGCAAAGAGCUAACAACCAUUCGACAAGUUCGUGGCUCUCGAAAACUGGAAGCCAGUACCACAGAUUGGUGCCAACCUCGGUCCUCCCCGCUGCAUUUCGUCGCUCCAGUCAGCAAUGAUCUUACGGCCAUCGCAGGUGCGGUUGGUGAUUGUCCUCUGAUACAGCUUUCAUGGGAGAGUUCUACCUUGUUUGCAGUUACAUGAUGAGUAUUUUUACUGAAUGUUCUUAACUUUUUUCUAAAAUUGCAUUGCAAACAGAAGCUUUCACUCUAGAGUUAUUUGAUUCUGCUUUUUUUGCGGGAUUAUAAGGGACCUUAUGUUUUAUUUCUCAUCUACUACAAAUUACGGAGUUUACUUGUACUUGGGCCACUUGAUGAUAACUUGGAUUAUACUGCACACCUAAGGUGAUCAGGUCUGACCCCAAAAUGCAAAUUCCUAAUACCUACUCGCUAGCAUCUGUGCAGAGCUCAUUAUUCAUCAAGUUAUAAGCUUGCUGCUGUUCUUCAUCUUUUCAUGUUGAAUAAACUUGUGCUGUCUUUAUUUAGUGCCAUGGCAGAGCUUUUUCACUGCCAUGGCAGCUGUUUUGCUUCGAAUAAGUGUGCCAUGGCAAAGGUUUGCAUACUCACUGCACAUGUGCAUAAUUAGCUGGUUAGGCCUCUUUCUCAUUGUGUUUCGGUUAGCCAAGUUGUGGGAUGGCACGAUGGAGGUGGUCAGCUGGAUAAGCGAGUCGGGCUUAGUCCACACUCUGCACGGUCUUGUUCGUGGGAUGGAAUGAACGCCGAGGAUCGCUGCGAGCAUUUUGUUAGGACUGUUACAGGCCAUUUCCUUUGUAACAUAAUAAAAGGAGAAAAGGAAAUACAGAAAAGCACCAAGGGUUGUGCGCAGCGCAGAAAACCUGCUUGUGCCAUUGUGUUCAUUGUGUGUGAGCUGAGAAUUGUGUUGUCAUUUCAUACUAAGCCUAAUUAAGGUGUUUACCCUUACCUUUCAUACGAUUUUCUAGAACCAUUUCGAUCCUAAUCCACCGUCAGAUAUCUACCAUAGAACAACUGUUCAGGUAUUAUCAUCUUAAGCUGGAUUUAUUUGGCAGAUUACCAUGUCGCUGUUUAACAAUGACAGAAUAAAAAUCAGCAAUAUAUAUUCUGUGAUUUCAUACCAUCUGCAUUUUUUUCCCUAUGUGGCAUUUCCCAUCAUUUGGAUCCGUACAAGGCUUCAACAUCUGCAAAAGACAAUCCAUCUUGGUUCGAAUAAAUGGAAUCUUGCUAUGAUGUCAUUUUUUUUUCUGUGCGUGACAAGUGAUGACACCGUUGACACUUGCACUUCUAGUCAAGAUGCCAUGUGUAUGUAGCUCCGCAUUUGUAUGUAGCUUCAGCAAACAACUCCAUCUCUUGGAUCCUCGUAAUUGGGGCUCCCAUGUAAUUACGUGCCCCCAAAGCAUCUACUGGUCCAUAUAAUUGCUGCAAGCAACUCUUAGUACCUCGCCAUGAUAACUAGGGUGCCAAAUGCACGGUGUACAACUUUUGAUGUAUCCUCGACUCCUCGUAAUGAUCCGGCCUUUGAAGGCCACCAUCUCUAGGAUCAAAUUCAAAUGUACGCUUACAAAAUCACAGCCCAACCAAGUGGGGCUCCCAACCUCUCUUGUAGUCCGUGUAAUGUCAUGAGAUAGUUAGAGCCGAUGGUGGUUGUUCUACAUUGCCAAUCAAUGUUUUUAGAGAUAAUAUAAUGGAGGGUGUCGAUCACUGAUUCUCAAUUUGCUAGGAAAAUCAUAUAUGAUCUGCUUUUAUUUUUCUGUCAGUAUCUACACUCAAGAAAAAGGGUUUCCCCCCGCUUUAGAUUAUAAAGCAACGUCCAACCGAUACAACCAGCUUGCUGGGCCGCAGCACAAACAAGCCCAAAAGAAAAAGGAGAGAAAGAAAAAAGAAACAAAUGCCGACGCCGGCAGCUCAACUAGGCAAAGAUGGCCGACACCCGCUGCACCCACCGGAGAAGAACCACCGCCCGCCAAGCACUCCGAAGCCUCGCGUACCAAGCAACAUCUUCAGGAAGAAAUGCGACGACGACGCCGCUGCUGCCCGGACAAGUCCUAGGGUUUCCCCCGGUACGCGGAUGGCAGUGGGGAAGGGGGUAUCACCGACGCCCCUCAAGAGGGUCUGGCAACGCCCACGGGCGCAGCUGCGCCGGUGGCGAACGAGCCACCAGAGAUUUCUCCCGCCCCGAAGCCACCACCGCCACCUCAGACAAUCGGAAGCGCACCGCCCAACAUGCCGCCCACCAGCCUGUGCCACCGCGGAUAACGCACCAUCUUCACUGUUUCACUGAGGCCACCAACACGAGACCUGGAGGUAGGACGAGAAGACGCCGGGCUCGGAGGCAACCGCACCAUAACCGACAGGAGGGAACAACCUCCACCGCCGCGCGGAGCCGACCGGACAUGGCAACAGGGACUUGCCGGGCCACCACCGGCCCGGCCAGACCCCGACGGGUCCGGACAGUCCCCGCAGCCACGCUGCAGCACACCGGCCGCCGGAG
rnacentral:lncRNA from 1 species